rnacentral:lncRNA from 1 species
AGAUAGUGAGUAUCCUAACCAUGUCUAUAAACUCUCUAAGGCGCUUUAUGGGCUCAUGCAAGCCCCAAGAGCAUGGUAUGAAUGCCUAAGAGAUUUUCUUAUCGCUAAUGGCUUCAAAGUCGGAAAAGCCGAUCCUACUCUCUUUACUAAAACAAUUGCAAAUGAUUUGUUUGUAUGCCAAAUUUAUGUUGAUGAUAUCAUAUUUGGGUCUACUAACAAAUCUACUUGUGAAGAGUUUAGUAGGAUUAUGAUUCAAAAAUUCGAGAUGUCUAUAAUGGGGGAGUUGAAGUAUUUCUUAGGAUUUCAAGUGAAGCAACUCCAAGAGGGCACCCUCAUCAGCCAAACAAAGUACAUUCAAGACAUACUCACCAAGUUUGGAAUGAAGGAUGCCAAGCCCAUCAAGACACCCAUGGGAACCAAUGGGCAUCUUGACCUCGACACAGGAGGUAAAUCCGUAGAUCAAAAGGUAUACUGGUCGAUGAUAGGAUCUUUACUCUAUUUAUGUGCUUCACGACCGGAUAUUAUGCUUUCCGUAUGCAUGUGUGCAAGAUUCCAAGCCGAUCCUAAGGAAGUUCACCUUAGGGCCGUGAAACGAAUCUUGAGAUAUUUAGUUUAUACUCCUAAGUUUGGCCUUUGUUCCCCAGGGGAUCCACUUUUGACUUAAUUGGUUAUUCAGAUGCUGAUUGGGCAGGGUGUAAGAUUGAUAGAAAGAGCACAUCAGGGACUUGCCAGUUCUUGGGAAGAUCUCUGGUGUCUUGGGCUUCUAAGAAACAAAAUUUUUGUAGCUCUUUCUACCGCCAAAGCUGAGUAUAUUGCCGCAGGCCAUUGUUGCGUGCAAUUGCUUUGGAUGAGCAAAACCCUUAGGGACUACGGUUACAAAUUAACCAAAGUUCCUCUCCUAUGUGAUAAUGAGAGUGCAAUCCGCAUGGCGGAUAAUCCCGUUGAGCACAGCCGCACUAAGCACAUAGCCAUUCGGUAUCACUUUUUGAGGGAUCACCAACAACGGGGAGAUAUCGAGAUUGCUUACAUUAACACCAAAGAUCAAUUAGCUGAUAUAUUUACCAAGCCAUUAGAUGAGAAAUCUUUUACCAAACUUAGACAUGAGCUAAAUAUUCUUGAUUCUAAGAAUUUUGAUUGAUAUUUUGCACACAUAGCUCAUUUAUAUACCUUUGAUCAUAUCUCUUUUAUGUGCUAUGACUAAUGUGUUUUCAAAUGAAUAUUAUGCUAAGUCAUAGAUUGAAAGGGAAAUAGAGUCCUCGGCGAAGACAAAAAGCCUUCCACUCCACUCCAUCGAAUUAUUCAUCCUUCGCCGUCGCUCCACAACGCUCUCCAAUUUGGUAUAAUCUUCACUCCUAUAUUAUUUACCAAAGGGGGAGAAAGUUUGAAAAAGGGCUUAUAUUUCACUCACAAGUAUCCGUUUUUGGCGAUUCAUGCCAAAGGGGGAGAAAGUAUUAGCCCAAAGCAAAAGGACCGCACCACCACCAAUUUCAAAAAUGUAGUAUUUCAAUUUGUAUUAAAGAAGUGUUUUAAAGAUUUUCAAAUUGGUAUCUUAUUUUUGAUAAAAUUUUAAAUUGGUAUACCCUCUUCAAAAUUAAUAUCUAAAACCCUCUUGAACACUAAGAGGAGGAUUUCAUUAAGGGGGAGUUUUGUUUAGUCAAAGGAAAAGCAUUUGAAACAGAGGGAGAAAAUUUCAAAUCUUGAAAAUGCUUCACAAAAUCUUAUUCAUAUACCUUUGACUAUUUGCAAAAGAUUUUGAAAAUGCUUAAGAAAGCCAUCCAUAUCUAGCAGAAAUAAUUAUUGGUUUCAUUCCAAACAACCUUUGCACUUACCUUAUGCAAACUAGUUCAAUUCUGCACUUUUAUAUUUGCUUAGGUUUGUGUUGGCAUCAAUCACCAAAAAGGGGGAGAUUGAAUGGGAAAUAGGCUUACACCUUUUCCUAUAUGAAUUUUGGUGGUUGAAUUGCCCAACACAAAUCAAUUGGACUAACUAGUUUGCUCUAGAUUAUGAGUUCUACAGGUGCCAAAGGUUCAACACAAACCAAUAUAAAGUCCAAGAAAGGGUUCAAAUAAAAAGAGCAAAAGACAACCGAAGUGUGCCCUGGUCUGGCGCACCGGACUGUCCGGUGUGCCAACGGACAGUGUCCGGUGCACCACCGGACAUUGUCCGGUGCACCGGGGAGAUCGACUCUGAACUUGCCAGCUUCGGGAAUUUGGGGAGCCACUCCGCUAUAAUUCACUGGACUGUCCGGUGUGACACCGGACUGUCCGGUGUGCCAGCGGAGCAACGGCUACUUCGCGCCAACGGUCGUCUGCAAAGGAACAGUAAAAGUGAACAGUGCGCGCCUGCGGCGCAGAAGUCAGAGCAGCGCCAGAAGGCGCACCGGACAGUGAACCGGUGGCCCAGUUGUCAGAAGCUCCAACGGUCAGAACCCAACAGUCAUUUUGGUGGUUGGGGCUAUAAAUACCCCCCAACCACCACACUUCAAUGCAUCCAAGUUUUCAGCCAUCAAACAUCAUACAAGAGCUCUAGACUUCAUUCCAAGACACAAACAAAGAGAUCAAAUCCUCUUCCAUGUCCAAAGAUCAUUCCAAUCAAAUAGUGACUAGUGAGAAAGACAAUUGUGUUCAUUUGAGUUCUUGCGCUUGGAUUGCUUUUCUUCUUCCUUCUUUCUUGUUUCCAACUCAAUUGUAAUCAAGGCAAGAGACACCAAUUGUGUGGUGGUCCUUGUGGGGACUUGGUGUCCCGUUUGAUUGAGAAGAGAAGCUCACCCGGUCUUUGUGACCACCUCAACGGGGAGUAGGUUUGCAAGAACCAAACCUCGGUAAAACAAAUCACUGUGUCAUCCGCUUUAUUUGCUUGUGAUUUGUUUUCGCCCUCUCUUUCGGACUCGUUUAUAUUUCUAACGCUAACCCCGGCUCGUAGUUGUGCUUAAACCUUAUAAAUUUCAGAUUUGCCUAUUCACCUCCCCCCCUCUAGGCGACUUUCACAAAGCAUCUCUUAGAUGGCUAUGACAUAGAAGGCUUGCACAUGUUGGAAUGAGCACACUCAAGAAGGUUCUAAAGAAAGACAUGGUUAGACGACUAAAGGAUGUUGUAUUUGAAAAGGACAAGCUUUGCAGUGCAUGUCAAACUGGAAAGCAAGUUGCUAACGCUCAUCCUACAAAAGCUUUUAUGUAAACAUCAAGGCCACUAGAGUUGCUUCAUAUGGAUCUAUUUGGACCAACAACUUAUGCUAGUGCUGGUGGCAACCUCUACUGUCUGGUUAUUGUUGAUGACUUUUCAAGAUGCCCGCUAGCUGUUUUUCUACCAAAUGAAUUUGAAAGCAUAGGUUUCUUGUAUCCCGGAACCUCUGGAUGUACUCAUUAAUGGAUUCGUCUUUUCUUUGUCGCAGGGCCACUAGGUCUACUAAAUCUAACUCAUAGUCACCGGAAAAAAAGUGAUCGUGGAAUUUUUGUUCUAAAUCCCGCCAUGUCAAAAUAGAAUUAGGAGGUAAUGUGGCGUACAAUGCGAAUGUGGUUCCUGUUAAAGAUAAUGGAAAUAAACACACACGGAACGCCUCUGUGUCGGCCAAUUCUCCUAAUUGCGCUAAAAACUGGCCUAUGUGUUCACGUGUGCUUUUUCCUUGGUCACCCGAAAAUUUCACGAAUUCAGGUAUCCUGGUUCCCUGUGGGUAUGGGUGGUGGUCAAAUCGGUUGUCAUAAGGCCUCCGAUAUGACUGUCCCCCAGGGACCAUGCUUACUCCGAGCUUAUCUCGGAACGCUCCGGCUAUUUCUUCCCUUAUUAUAUCAAUAACAGCCGGUGGGAGACCACCGUCUCUUUGUCCUAUCAUAGGUGAGGUUGUUUGGACAUUAGUUUGUUGUCUUUCCCCCAUUAGUUUGAGUUCGGUGGUGCAUUACUAUUUGCCCAAUAUGGUUCAUAAGAUUGACCAUUCCUUUACGACCUUCCAGGCGGAGCCGGAAAGUACUCACCCACAUGGGCUUGGGAUUCUGUAUUAAUGGGCUGAGGAAUUGUACAGUGUGAUACUGCGAUGGGAAGUGUUGCUGGUACGGGCGAGGAUUUAGGUAACAAUCCUCCUCAAACAACCCUGUGUCGGAGCGUCCGAUCGGAUAUGAGGACUGUCCGUGAUUAUAUGCGGACGUUGUGUCUAGGUGGUUUAGGGCUUGUGUAGCAUGUGGCGGCUCGGACGCAUAAAUGGGACCGGCCGUUGCUGGCCCAGACGGUCCACGCUCACGUGCGGAUGGUCCGGACUAGGACUGGGCGUUCAGGUUUACCCAAAAUUUCGGGUCGGGCUUUUUGGGUUUUUAUAUUUCGGGUUUCCAACAGUAGAACCCGUACUCAUACCCGAAAUUUUGGGUACUCGCAAAUUCGGGUUUGGGUUUGGGUAAAAUUCGAGUACCCACUAUUAUAAAUCAUACACAAGAGUACAUGACAGGUGGACAACAAACAAAGUCAUAAACCAAUACUUAUCAGCUAUUAUUACAAAAUCACAUGGUCUGCUCGGCUGUAGGAUCACAAUGGCUCACACUUUAGUACUUCACAGUUCACACUUUAGUACUUUAUCACCAAAGUCAAACAAAAUCACAAACAACAACCAAUAGCUCGCGCCCCCCUCCCGUUCGUUCGUCCGUCCAUCCAUUCAAGGACGAUUCGAAAGUCUUCGUCUUUGUCGUUGUGCACUGCCGCCUUUCCUCCGCCUGUGAGUAAUUAAAGAACAAGAGGGGAUUUCACGAGGAUUCGCCCUGAUCUGGGUGGCACUUUGGUCCGCCAUGCAGGGAGGGGACCAGCACGUUCGUACGGUCCAGCGACAGCGAUGGUGAGCUCGAGUUGGAAUUUUGCGAAGAAACUGGAAUAAAGUUUCGCAUAGCCAGCACUCAGCAGCGAGCUAGUAGUAUUAACAAUGCUGAUCAAGGACUGGUGUCACACCCGGUUUUGAAGGUAAACCGAAUGCGAACCAUGUACGUGCCAGGAUCAGUAAUUCACGUACACAGCGAUUACAUAAAUGACUCAUCAUAGCAUAAUGCUUCGAAUUACAAUAAAUAGUAAGUAAUAAUGUUACAUUCUAGAGCCAUUUACAUAAUAUAAAUCAAAGUACACAGAAUCGAAACGUAGCCAACGUAAAUAAACCCACCACAGGCAGCUGACUGGGGGAGGUCGCUAGCCUAAUCCUCGAACUCGUCGAAGUCCUGGAACUCCUGGAGAUCCGCCUCGACACCUUCUUUACCUGAGCAUAGAUUGCACCAAAGGCAACCUGGUGUUUUGUGAAAGCAAGGGUGAGUACACAUCAACGUACUCAGCAAAUGUCCUGUUUGGCUGUAGUGGACUAGCUUUAUGUGGGGUUAAGUCAAGCAGUUGCUUUUAGUUGGUCAGGUUAUUAUUACUAGUAGAAAGCCAGGUUUUAGCAUUAACCCAAGUUCUUAACCCAAAGUACCCUUUCCAAACGGAAAGAAUACCACUUACCAUUACCAUAAUCAUAAUAAAAAAUCAUCAUCCUCAUCACCGCCUGUAGUCCGAACAUCUCUGGUCAAGUAUCACUAAUCAAUGGAGCUCCCUUGGCCGCUCAUAACCGCGAGCACGGCUGAUAUAUCAGUUUCAUAACACUCUGCAGAGGUUGCGCACUUUACCCACAAGCCGUGAUUCCCUCUCUAGCCUGGGCUUGCAAGACCCUUAUUCACUCCCGAGGUGAAUGGCCAGGGAUUCACUACGAAGCCUUUACAAAGAUUCUCUGAGGCUGUAGCCGCCCGUUAGGUUUCCUAAAUGCACCGCACUCCUCCCCAAGGGGCGAACCAACCUUGGCAGAGCGAGCCGCAUACACCGAGCCCCAUUAACGGCACGACGGCGAAGCGAACUACACCCCAGUUCCUCUAAUUAUUCAGCUAAGGGCGUCCCAUUCUACCCUCAUGGUUGCACUGUUUUCCCGGGCGGUCAUCCAACGAACAGGUCCUUACGGAGAGGCACUCGAGAAACCGCUCGAGCCCCCUAAAGUAUCACCAGUCCAACAUCAUAAUCAUAGAGACAACAUCGUAUCAUAAAUGUUCACAUCAUGUUCAUUGAUUAAAGUAAAGCAAUAGCAUGAAGCUAACCAUAAUAACCCAAAAGGUAAUCAAGGACAAGGUAAAUACAAAGCUAGUCAAUCCUUAGGUUGAUCAUGGUAUGCGGGUUGAUGAAUUAUAAAGUAAAUGGGACAUAAUAGGUCAGAGGACACUUGCCUUCACCAAACAAAUGCUCAGGAUCUUCAACUUUGUAGAACUCGAAGAGCUGGAUCAUUUGGUCGCCGAAGCUUGAUCGUCGAUUCCUCGAAGCUCGAAAAUGGAUCGCAGUCUAUUCGCGACGCGCAAUGAAUACAAACAGGCACAAACAAACAUAUACUUACAUAAGAACAUUAAACCAUACAAGAAAAUAUUAUCAAAACAAGCAUUAUAAAAAUAAGAGAGCACUUCUACGGUUACGCGGGGAUAAGGAACGCGACGGUCGAAACUACGGUCGAGAAGUUAUAACGUUUACGCUACGCAAGUAAUAGUCAGGUCAUUUAAUUCGACAUUAUAAAAUAUAAAUUAUAACUGCUAUGUAGUUUUGAUUAAAUCUGCUACACUAACAGUUGUCAAAUAAAUAAGUAAUAUAAUUAGCACGAGAGAUUCUAAGCGAGGUGAAUUUACGACACGCAAAACAAUACGACAACGUGCGAACGACGCGCGAACACGCGUGACAUAGCACGCUGACGGCACACGAACAGUGCGCGCGCCCAGCGCGAGUGACGCACGGAUCAACAUGCGACCACGAGCGCAUCACGCACGAACAACACGCGGACAGCACGCGAAACAACGCGCAUGACAGUGCGCGAGUCAACGCGACUACACGCACGACAUGCGUGGAAUGAUGCGCGAACGACGAGCGGCGACUUGUCACAGAACGACACAACAUAAGAGAAUUAUUAAGUUACGUCUUGCUUAUACUAAACAAAUAUUAAUUAUAACAUUUAAGUUGGCAUAAUCACAUUAACAUGUAUUUAUAAAGUCGCAAAUUAAGAGUAUAGAUUAGUUUUAAUUGCAACGCUACUUUAAUAAUCAUGGAAUGAACAAGAGAUUAAAUAAUUAAUUAAAAUAUGCGAUAUGACAAAAUAAUAUUUUAACACGCAGACGAUGUUAUUAUGGAGCUAGCGUAACUAGAACGGUAUGAAACGUAUUUAUAACGCAACAUAUAUUGAAUAAAUAACAAAUCACGGCUUUACAGCGACAUGGCGUGAUUCUAUUGAUUGGAAACUUGUCACACGAUGGGCCACACGAGGAGCUGCCACAGGAAAUCUGGAAUUCAUUAUGAGGGGCGGUUGUUUCAUGCAGGAAAUAGUGGAGGCUAUGACUCACGCCAUGCUUGUGGGGCCCAUUCAAUUCCAUGCGUGAGACGAGCGCACACUGUACAGCCGUGGUCGCAUGGGGGCAUGCAAUGGGGUGGUUUUCCUCUCUCUUCUAAUGCACGAACAUGCAAAGCAGCGGGUCGAGCAGCAGUUUCACCGCUGGCUGAGGGAAGACACACCGACGACGUCACAUGGCCUAGGUGAAGCAGCGUCGGCUGGGGUGGAGCUCGUCGGCCAAGGGCACGUGGGACCAGGACUUUGACGCAGGCAGGGGGCGAGGCUCGCCGGCCGGAACGCAGCCAGCCAUAGCGACUCGAUAGCCACAAGCAAAGCGGGGCUAGAUGUACGGCUGCGCGUCAUGGCCGGUUGCAUGGCAGACGGCGGGUCAGCGGCUCACCAUGGCAAGACGCUUGCGACGAACUGCGAGAGAGGGGAGAGGUGAAGGGGUGGAUUCACCUGCGCAACUGCGGAUUUGACGUGCGAGACAUGGUUGUGCGGUCGCCGAGCACGCGACAUCAGCACGAGGCUGAGCUCCCGUCCGACAGCGGCGACUGUGGUUGGCGCGGGACCUUCAUGCCAGAGGGGGACGUGCACUAGCCAAGGGCACAGUGAGAGUUGUGCACCGGGGCUUGCCCGACCGCCGGGGACGCGCACUUUCUAGACACGAAGGAGCUCGCCGGGAGCAGACAAACUGCUCGGCAGGGGACAGAGAGGGGAGGGAUGAGGUGGGGAAGGGAAAGCAGACUCACCACGACGGAGUCCGACGGCGAGUACCGAACUAGCGAUUCGGCGCGGACGGCGAUCUUGGCGACUCCUGCUGCGCGGCGACGAGCGAGAGAGAACUGGGUAAGAGAAAUUGGCAUGAGAGAAACCGACGGGGAGGAAAUGGGGAUGAGAGACGCAUGGCGGCGGUGUUGGGCAACUGCCCACGCGCGCGGCAGGCACGGCAGGGCGGUUGGAGCUAGGCCGCGGGACAGGUGCAAGGUGGGUCGAGCAGGCCAGACAGGGUGGGCUUUUCCUUUUCCUAUUUCUUUCUCUUUUCUUUAUUUAUUUUAUCUAUCAUUUGAAUUUAACGUCGAGCGCAAAAACAACUAAGCGAAUGCACAUCCAAUAAGUUCAUCAAUUAAAACAUAUUUUCAGCAUGAUACAUCAACAACAAUCCCUAUAGGGUUUUAUUAUCAACUAUGUUUGAAGUAACAUUCCCUAUUACUUGGGAAGAAAUGAAUAAAGGAGCGAAAAUAAGGAAAAAGAAGGUAACACCUGAAUUUGAUUGAUAUAUGAAAAGAAAUUUUAUACCCCCAAAUUCAGGGUGUUACAAAUCUAACCCCCUUAACAAAAUCUCGUCCUCGAGAUUCAAGAAGAGGCUAGCAAGAAAAUGAGAUUGGUUUAUUAGUCUUUCAUAGCUUCUUCUAACCCAGCUUUGACUUUGUCAACUUUAACUUGCGAACUAGUUGCUUUGACCUUCAGGUGCUUGAGACCGAUCGAUGCAAUUCUUGAGGAUCCCUUGGACCUGUGGGUUAGGACCCACACAUGCUUCCGCUGCUUCACUUUGAUCUUGUUUGUUGAUGUUGAUCACAUUGUCUUCAUUGGGGUUUGCGGUAACCCCCUUAACAGGAGCGUUGAUACGAACUUAGGGAAGAUGUAGCCGACUCCGAUCUUGACGAAUUAAGAGAGGUUGGAGGUUGCCAACUGGACAGGUGCAAGAGGGAGGGUAUAGAUAGAAAAGGUAAGCAUAGAUGGAUUAAAAAGAGAAAAGUGAGAGCACCCAGCUACCUAACUCUAUGGCACUCAGCUAGUAAACUAAUGUCAUUGUGGACCAAGGGCCACAACACAUCAACACUCAUCACAAAGAAGCAAAUCAGUCAUCACACAAAAACAAACAGCACAAGCAUACAACAGAAAACAUUCCAUUGCUACACGUUCCUUCUAAUUAAAUGGUGGUCUUUCUUGAAAAGGGAAUAACUACUCUCUAAGGUUGUUGAAGGACAAGGAGAAGAACAAGACAUGCAGAACAGGGACACGAGCACCAUAAAGAAUGGAGUUAAAGCAAGCAUUGUAAGCGAUCAACAAAAGGAUACGACCAAGGGCAUAAUGGGUAGAACAACACUCUCGGGUUGAGAUAGAAAAGGGGAGAUUUCCAAAAGCAGACCUUAGAUAGGUAUCAAGUCAAGGUCUAGUGAUUACAAGGGUAAGGGGUAUAUCAAACAAACGCUAUGAUUGGCAACGCGGUAAAGGAAAAGGGAAUGACCAAGAGCGGGUAGGUAAGACAACACUCUUGAACUGGAACGAGGGAGGGGCUUUAAAAUGCAGGGACGAGAUAAGCAUCAAGGUAAAGAUCAAGGGAUGACAAGGGUUAAGGUGAUAACGGACAAACACCCAACCAAAAAUUUAUUUUAGACCAAAACUUGCAAGGUGUCAAGAAGGGGGAGCAGUCAAUGAUGAAUAGGUGAGGCAUUAUCCUCAAACACGGAUGGAAAAGAGGAGGCUUCAAAGGAUAUGUUCGAGAUAAGUAGGAGGGUAAGGACAUAGAUAUCACGAGGGUUUCAAAGGUAAUAACGGACAAAGAUGUAGGAUAGGAGGUAAAUAAGCAUAAGACAAAAGAUAUUAGUACCGUAAAGGAUGGAGUUAAGAUAUGACCUGCAAAUGAAAAAAAUGAGAGGGUACGUCCAAGGGUCAGAUAGGUAAACUGCCACUCUCAAAUUGAGGUGAAAGAGAGGAGAUUUUUUUUAAGAGCAAGAAUAGAGAUAAGUGUUAAGGCAAGACCGAUAGAUGACAAGGUAAUGGUGAUAGCAAAUAAAACACACAACAAAGGAUGGAAUUAAGACAAGACUUGUUAGGCGACAAUAAUUGAAAAGAAAUCAAUGGAGAGAUGGGUAACUCACAGCUCUCAAACUGGGUUGAAAGAAAGGAGAGACUUUUAAAGGAUAAGUUCAAAGUAAACAUCUAGGUGGAAGGCCUCAAUAUCACAAGGGUCAGAGGCGAUAAUAAACAAGGGCAUAAGGGAAAAGACGAAAGCACAGAAGAGCCAGUGGUAUAAGUACAACAAGGAAUGGAGGUAUGUCAAGGCUUACGCGGUAAAGAAGAGGAUAUAGCCAAGGGUGAGAUAAGUAAAACAUAGCUCUCGAAUUGAGAUCGAAAAGAGGGGAUUUCAAUAAGCAGACCUAAGAUAAGUAUCAAGGCAAGAUCUGAUUACAAAGGUAAAGAUGAUAUCAAACAAAAGCUCAACCAAGGAUGAAGUUAAGGUGAGGCAAGACUGCAAAGCGACAAAGAGAAAGGAAACGAACAAGAGCGGGAUAGGGAAAACAACACUCUUGGAUUGAAAUGGAAUAAGUGAGGCUAAGAAAAUUAGGUAAACAUCAUGGUAAAUAUGGAGAGAGGUCAAGGGUCAAAGGUGAUAAUAGGCAAGGAUAUAAAGGAAGAGGUAAAUGUGCAUAAAAAAACCCAGGAAUCUAGGUACAACCAAGAAUAGAGUUAAGAUAAGUCUUGCAAGUGGUAAAGUAUAGGAUAUAUCCAUGGGUGAGAUAAGUAAGAGGCCAUGCUUGAACUAAGGUGGGAGAUUGGAGGUUUUAGACAACGAACAUAGCGUGAUCGCCAAGAUAAGAUUGAGAGAUGAGAAGGGUAAAGGCAAUAAGAAACAAAAGCAUAACAAAGGAUGAGGUUACAAACUCGCGUGCCAAAGAAGAGGAUACGACCAAGAGAAAGAAGGUAUGAGACGGAAGAGGGGCGAUUUUAAAGGGCAGGUAUGAGAUGAACAUCAAUGCAAUAUAUAGAAGUGUCAAGGGUAAAGGUGAUAAUAACAAAGAGCAUAGGAAAGGAUGGAGCUAAGGCAAGACUCACGAAAUGGCGAGAUGGAGAAAACAAUCACGGGUAAGGUGGGUAAGGUUCCAAUAGAAUGGUUUAGUAAAAGAAAUUAUUACCGAGGGAAGUUAUAAGGAAUUAAUGAGAUCACCAAGGAUGUGCAAAAUAAAAUGACCGCUCAUGGAUCAUUAAGAAACAAGGGUGAUCAAGGGCAUGUUAACUGAAAUGUCUUAAACAGACAUUGGGGCAUGAAGAUAAGCAUAGACGAAAAUAUAAGAGUAUGCAAGACUCAAAAGAUACGAGCGUACUAAGACCAAGGUAAUAGAAAUUGUCGAAAGAUAGCGUCUUAACAAUAGAGUAAGAAAGGAUCUCAGAAGACAAGAAGGUCAUAGACACAUAAACUGAACUGUUUAAAUAGGCAGCAGAGGUACAAGGGUAAGUGCUUUAGAUUAAGGGAUAAGGGUAUUAAAAUGCAAGGAUACAAGCAUGUCAAAUAACAAAAUGGAAUAGAGAUGGUCAAAUAGUAGCAAUUUAAUAAUGGAUGAGGAAAGAGUCCCAAAAGACUAAAGGCUAUGAUCAGGGGGCAUCUACAAAGAUGUCGCAAGCACAAGAUGAGAUCAGGUCUAAUAGAUUGAGAGAAGCAUAGACCAUACUAGAAUAAAAUACUUUUUCGCAAGGGGGCAUAUAGGAGCACAACAUAGAAUUAGUCGAGGUGACUAAUAUUUUGAAGCAGAAUCAAGGAUGAGGUGAAGUAAUGAUCAAUAAGUCCUUAAAACGGCCAAUGCUACUCUAGGCUAGCGGUCCUACAGUCAGCACGACUUUGAUACCACUUAUGUCACACCCGGUUUUGAAGGUAAACCGAAUGCGAACCAUGUACGUGCCAGGAUCAGUAAUUCACGUACACAGCGAUUACAUAAAUGACUCAUCAUAGCAUAAUGCUUCGAAUUACAAUAAAUAGUAAGUAAUAAUGUUACAUUCUAGAGCCAUUUACAUAAUAUAAAUCAAAGUACACAGAAUCGAAACGUAGCCAACGUAAAUAAACCCACCACAGGCAGCUGACUGGGGGAGGUCGCUAGCCUAAUCCUCGAACUCGUCGAAGUCCUGGAACUCCUGGAGAUCCGCCUCGACACCUUCUUUACCUGAGCAUAGACUGCACCAAAGGCAACCUGGUGUUUUGUGAAAGCAAGGGUGAGUACACAUCAACGUACUCAGCAAAUGUCCUGUUUGGCUGUAGUGGACUAGCUUUAUGUGGGGUUAAGUCAAGCAGUUGCUUUUAGUUGGUCAGGUUAUUAUUACUAGUAGAAAGCCAGGUUUUAGCAUUAACCCAAGUUCUUAACCCAAAGUACCCUUUCCAAACGGAAAGAAUACCACUUACCAUUACCAUAAUCAUAAUAAAAAACCAUCAUCCUCAUCACCGCCUGUAGUCCGAACAUCUCUGGUCAAGUAUCACUAAUCAAUGGAGCUCCCUUGGCCGCUCAUAACCGCGAGCACGGCUGAUAUAUCAGUUUCAUAACACUCUGCAGAGGUUGCGCACUUUACCCACAAGCCGUGAUUCCCUCUCUAGCCUGGGCUUGCAAGACCCUUAUUCACUCCCGAGGUGAAUGGCCAGGGAUUCACUACGAAGCCUUUACAAAGAUUCUCUGAGGCUGUAGCCGCCCGUUAGGUUUCCUAAAUGCACCGCACUCCUCCCCAAGGGGCGAACCAACCUUGGCAGAGCGAGCCGCAUACACCGAGCCCCAUUAACGGCACGACGGCGAAGCGAACUACACCCCAGUUCCUCUAAUUAUUCAGCUAAGGGCGUCCCAUUCUACCCUCAUGGUUGCACUGUUUUCCCGGGCGGUCAUCCAACGAACAGGUCCUUACGGAGAGGCACUCGAGAAACCGCUCGAGCCCCCUAAAGUAUCACCAGUCCAACAUCAUAAUCAUAGAGACAACAUCGUAUCAUAAAUGUUCACAUCAUGUUCAUUGAUUACAGUAAAGCAAUAGCAUGAAGCUAACCAUAAUAACCCAAAAGGUAAUCAAGGACAAGGUAAAUACAAAGCUAGUCAAUCCUUAGGUUGAUCAUGGUAUGCGGGUUGAUGAAUUAUAAAGUAAAUGGGACAUAAUAGGUCAGAGGACACUUGCCUUCACCAAACAAAUGCUCAGGAUCUUCAACUUUGUAGAACUCGAAGAGCUGGAUCAUUUGGUCGCCGAAGCUUGAUCGUCGAUUCCUCGAAGCUCGAAAAUGGAUCGCAGUCUAUUCGCGACGCGCAAUGAAUACAAACAGGCACAAACAAACAUAUACUUACAUAAGAACAUUAAACCAUACAAGAAAAUAUUAUCAAAACAAGCAUUAUAAAAAUAAGAGAGCACUUCUACGGUUACGCGGGGAUAAGGAACGCGACGGUCGAAACUACGGUCGAGAAGUUAUAACGUUUACGCUACGCAAGUAAUAGUCAGGUCAUUUAAUUCGACAUUAUAAAAUAUAAAUUAUAACUGCUAUGUAGUUUUGAUUAAAUAUGCUACACUAACAGUUGUCAAAUAAAUAAGUAAUAUAAUUAGCACGAGAGAUUCUAAGCGAGGUGAAUUUACGACACGCAAAACAAUACGACAACGUGCGAACGACGCGCGAACACGCGUGACAUAGCACGCUGACGGCACACGAACAGUGCGUGCGCCCAGCGCGAGUGAUGCACGGAUCAACAUGCGACCACGAGCGCAUCACGCACGAACAACGCGCGGACAGCACGCGAAACAACGCGCAUGACAGUGCGCGAGUCAACGCGACUACACGCACGACAUGCGUGGAAUGAUGCGCGAACGACGAGCGGCGACUUGUCACAGAACGACACAACAUAAGAGAAUUAUUAAGUUACGUCGUGCUUAUACUAAACAAAUAUUAAUUAUAACAUUUAAGUUGGCAUAAUCACAUUAACAUGUAUUUAUAAAGUCGCAAAUUAAGAGUAUAGAUUAGUUUUAAUUGCAACGCUACUUUAAUAAUCAUGGAAUGAACAAGAGAUUAAAUAAUUAAUUAAAAUAUGCGAUAUGACAAAAUAAUAUUUUAACACGCAGACGAUGUUAUUAUGGAGCUAGCGUAACUAGAACGGUAUGAAACGUAUUUAUAACGCAACAUAUAUUGAAUAAAUAACAAAUCACGGCUUUACAGCGACAUGGCGUGAUUCUAUUGAUUGGAAACUUGUCACACGAUGGGCCACACGAGGAGCUGCCACAGGAAAUCUGGAAUUCAUUAUGAGGGGCGGUUGUUUCAUGCAGGAAAUAGUGGAGGCUAUGACUCACGCCAUGCUUGUGGGGCCCAUUCAAUUCCAUGCGUGAGACGAGCGCACACUGUACAGCCGUGGUCGCAUGGGGGCAUGCAAUGGGGUGGUUUUCCUCUCUCUUCUAAUGCACGAACAUGCAAAGCAGCGGGUCGAGCAGCAGUUUCACCGCUGGCUGAGGGAAGACACACCGACGACAUCACAUGGCCUAGGUGAAGCAGCGUCGGCUAGGGUGGAGCUCGUCGGCCAAGGGCACGUGGGACCAGGACUUUGACGCAGGCAGGGGGCGAGGCUCGCCGGCCGGAACGCAGCCAGCCAUAGCGACUCGAUAGCCACAAGCAAAGCGGGGCUAGAUGUACGGCUGCGCGUCAUGGCCGGUUGCAUGGCAGACAGCGGGUCAGCGGCUCACCAUGGCAAGACGCUUGCGACGAACUGCGAGAGAGGGGAGAGGUGAAGGGGUGGAUUCACCUGCGCAACUGCGGAUUUGACGUGCGAGACAUGGCUGUGCGGUCGCCGAGCACGCGACAUCAGCGCGAGGCUGAGCUCCCGUCCGACAGCGGCGACUGUGGUUGGCGCGGGACCUUCAUGCCAGAGGGGGACGUGCACUAGCCAAGGGCACAGUGAGAGCUGUGCACCGGGGCUUGCCCGACCGCCGGGGACGCGCACUUUCUAGACACGAAGGAGCUCGCCGGGAGCAGACAAACUGCUCGGCAGGGGACAGAGAGGGGAGGGAUGAGGUGGGGAAGGGAAAGCAGACUCACCACGACGGAGUCCGACGGCGAGUACCGAACUAGCGAUUCGGCGCGGACGGCGAUCUUGGCGACUCCUGCUGCGCGGCGACGAGCGAGAGAGAACUGGGUAAGAGAAAUUGGCAUGAGAGCAACCGACGGGGAGGAAAUGGGGAUGAGAGACGCAUGGCGGCGGUGUUGGGCAACUGCCCACGCGCGCGGCAGGCACGGCAGGGCGGUUGGAGCUGGGCCGCGGGACAGGUGCAAGCAGGGGCGGAUCCAGGCCUAGGGCCACUAGGGCCCAGGCCCUACUCUUGGGCCGACUAGUUGUGUAAUAGCAGGCCAAAAAAUGUGAAUAGUAACUGCGAACAGCCCAACUAGUUCGGUUUAGGGUUUGGGACUUUGAGGUUUGAGGCAGCGACUGUCGGGCUGUGACUGUGUGGCGGCUGCGGGUCGCCUUCACUGCUCGGCUGCUCGCGCGAGUCGUGCACUAGUCCCAACUAAUUUCGCUGCCGGCGUAGCAAGUAGUGCAGCAACCAGCAAGCAGGCAAGCUGCGCAAGAAAGCAGAAGCAAGCAAGCAAACAAGCAGUCGAGCAGGCAAGCCGCGCAGGGGGCCGGCCGGCCGAGCAAGCAAGCAGCAGGCAGCGCAGCAAACAGGCAAGCAGAGCAGCGCAGCGGCGCAGCAAGCAGGUUUGUUGUUUUUGUUUGACACCGAGAAAAAUAUGUUGUGUCUAGAAAGUUUCAUAAUUCAUAGUGUUUAGUGUUACAAUUACAGUGUACAAUAUGAAGAGAGUUCGAACAAUUACAUCGAGAGGGAUAUAUUUGCAAGUAUUAAAGAUCCUCAAAUUAUAGAGCAUUAUCAAGCCAUGAGAACACGAAGGGAGCAAAUACUAAAGACAAGUAAGAGCGGUACAUUUAGUUCGAACAAUUCUAUACUUUGUAGUUUGUUUUCUUUGAUUACUUAUGUAAUAACGUAAUGUCAUUCAAUUUCAGGAAAUGUUUCUAUUGUUGAUGAAAGCAACCUAUGUAAUUGAUGAAUUGGUCAUUGAGACAAAGAUCUAUCAUUUUCCUAAUUAGGUAACCCCUUGUUUUAGUCAAUUUUACGUUAAAUUACAAUUGUUGUGUUCAUAUGAAGUUUAUAUGUGUCAUUAUCUAUGCAUUUUUAUGGUUUAAAAUUUUUAGCCGAUACAAAUAUUUUUUUAGUGUUAUCUCCGGCCCUACCCUUAGAAGUAUCCUGGCUCCGCCACUGGGUGCAAGGUGGGUCGAGCUAGGCAAGUCGAGCAGGCCAGACAGGGUGGGCUUUUCCUUUUCCUAUUUCUUUCUCUUUUCUUUAUUUAUUUUAUCUAUCAUUUGAAUUUAACGUCGAGCGCAAAAACAACUAAGCGAAUGCACAUCCAAUAAGUUCAUCAAUUAAAACAUAUUUUCAGCAUGAUACAUCAACAACAAUCCCUAUAGGGUUUUAUUAUCAACUAUGUUUGAAGUAACAUUCCCUAUUACUUGGGAAGAAAUGAAUAAAGGAGCGAAAAAAAGGAAAAAGAAGGUAACACCUGAAUUUGAUUGAUAUAUGAAAAGAAAUUUUAUACCCCCAAAUUCAGGGUGUUACAACUGGUGAGACGCUAAUGAAUGGACCGAGCUAGUGACUGACGGAGGAGGAAGAACUGAGUAGGCUAUCAACUGGGUGUGGCCUGUGGGUUGUAUCAUUGUUGGGCUAGCGGCUAACCCUCGGCUUGGCGCGUGCUGCCUAAUUUCGGGUAGAAUGGGUACUUCGGGUACCGCGGGUGAAUACCCAAUUAGGCCCAAACUUAGUUUGGGUAUUCAGUUUUGUUACCCGUUGGAGCUGUUCGAGUAACGUGUCUUGGGCUAAACGGGUACGGGUUCGGGUAUUUUAGGUAACAGGCUUUGGGCUCGGGUUUUAUGCCUGUUGGGGACUUGUUCUCAAAUUCUAUGAGUUAAGAACAAGGCUACACAAAAAUAGGUUAAUGAUUAAUGCCCUUCGUCCUUCAAAUCAUUAUUUCCUUAAGGUUAUGACGAUCUUUGGACGAAGGUUAUGAAGGACAUACCUUCAUAAUCACAGUAUAUGUCAAUGAAAAGCGAAGCAUAUGAAACAUGAGAAAUAACAUAAAUAAUCAUAUGACAUCAUCAUAAUAUAUCUUUUAUUAUAUAAACAUGAAUGAAUAAGAAUAACAUAGAAUUACAUUUUGUACCUUCGGCCUGACAGAAGGUGAAAGUACAAGCGUGACGCACGAGCAAGUACAAAUCAGCGUGAACAGUACGAGGUAUUGUUCAUCUAUUUAUAGGCACAGGGCGCAGCCUGUGUAAAUUUACAUUCAUGCCCUUUAUGUUUACUAUUGACUUAUGGAUAAACCAACGAUGACUAAAUAGCCUUUUCCCCUUUAGGUCGGUUCCUUUUUCCGCCACUUAGCCGAAGUUCCCUUACGUGUAGCUUCGGAGCAACAUUAGCCUUCAUCUCAAUCAUGCUUUUCUCAUCGCGUAUGGUUUUAACCCGAGUUUGAAGGUACCUGUUCAUAUGUCACACUUGGAAAACAUUGUUAAAUCAUGUUUUUGAGGACCUUCGGAAGACGAAGGCCCCCAAUAGUAGCCCCUCGCAGUAUUAAUUUGUUAAGAUAACGAAUUCAGACUGCGACAUGGAUGAAGGCCUUAAGCCGAAGGUCCGAAAAAACACCUUCCCUUUGCUAGAAUAGCAAUAAUCAAUGACAGACAGGCCCCUCCAAUCUGCAUCGCACUGGGCGUAUAAAUAGGAGCUCACAUCAGCUGCAUUUGAUACGCUAUUUCUGCUAUUUGCAUUAUUUUCUCAGUCUUAUAGCUCUUGCUCACUAGCACUUGCUAGAUUUUCAAGCUCUCUGAGCUUCGGUUUAAAAGACGUGUUUUCACCAUUUCUGGAGAAAAGAUGUCUCAGGAAAAGAAGGUUGUGGCGGAGACGAAGCUGACUGAAGAGGAGAAGCUAUUUAAGGAGAAGAAGGCUGUGAAUCCUUAUAUUGUUGGAUUUGUCGAGUCGAUGCAAAAACAAACACAGAGAAAAUUACUAAAGAGAUACUAGAAGGUUUAUCUGAAGAUACUGGUGACAGCGAUAGCUAUGAUGUGGAAAGUGGGGAUGAGGAUUCUGAGGAUUGGCCUUGGAGGCCAAGUCAUUCAAUCUUCGGAAAAUCAACCAUCAAAUAGAGUUAUCUUGAGAACAUGAGAGGAAGGUAUUUUCGGGACAUGUCUAUUGUGAGGGCUGAAGGAGACAACAACGUCCCUGCCCCUAAGGAGAACGAAGUUGUGAUUUACCGAAGCUUCUUCAAGGCUGGGCUUCGGUUCCCUUUGAGUAAGUUUGUAGUUGAAGUGUUGAAGACCUACCAAAUCUUCCUUCAUCAGAUCACCCUCGAAGCCAUAAUAAGGAUGGGGAUUUUUGUCUAGGCAGUAAGGAGUCAAGGGCUAGAGCCAAGCGUGAAGUGCUUUUGCAGUAUGCACGAACUUCUAUAUGAGACGAAGGCUAUGGGUAAAGAAUAGUACCACAACAACUUUGGUUGUUAUGGAUUUAUCGCUCGCCCCAACGCAAGCCACCCGGUGCCAACAUUUUAGAAGAGAUGGCCUGGAGCUUGGAUGGAAGAAUGGUUUUACGUGAAAAUGAUUUGAAAGCGAGGGAAGAUAUUAAGGAAGUCAUCAUGCGCCCCAUUUGGUCCCGCUUUGGCCUUCGCAGGCGGAAGAUAGAAAUUGAUGAGACAGUUGAGGCAUGUCAGAGGGCCUUCAGCACUGUCUGCUCCUUUAUUGGGACAAGGGAUUUAAUUCAAGAACAUAUAGCCUUCAGGGUAUGGCCGCUUAUAGACAGCUGGGAAAUGCCGAAGGAGACCACCACCGACUAUAGCGAAGGUGGUCUGGUCCAGCUGAAGUAUACCUUCAGAUUCAUGGAGAAAUUUGAUGAGCCGAAUGAAGACUGGCUGAAGUGUAUUGAAGCUACAAGUGAUGAACUGCUUGGAGCAUAUUCCAAGGUGGAAGAUAAUGCACUGUCCGCAGCCUUCGGAGGUCGGGGAAAAAAGAGACUGAACAGAGUUUUUGACGCCAUCGGAUUCGUCUACCCCGAUUACCGCUAUCCGCUGCGGGGACAGGGGAAAAAGAGGAAAACUGCUGCUUCGACCACCCCAGUUGAGCCUGUGACGAAGGGCAAAAAGGUGAAGGUUCUUACCCAUCGGCCGCGUUACAUUGAAUCGGCCGUGGUACCUGAAUUUGGCGAGGGGGCCUCUUCAGCUGCUGAAACAAGAGUAACUAUUCCUCCUGCGCAGAGGACUGAAGAGUCGGCUAUAAUGCCGAAGUUACCUUCAGUUGAGCUAGUUGAGACGAAGGCUGAUAAGGAUAAGGCUGAAGGGUCAAAAUUGAAGAAAUAACAAAAAUGCCAGAGAUUUUGAGCCCUUCAUCAGAGGUAACAGUGCCGAAAGCACAAAAGUGUUCUGCCGCAACUCCUAAGAGGAUAAGCAUGGCAAAUGUGCUAGAUGUUGUGUUAGAAACAGCAAAAACCUUGAGUCUUGCUCCUUCAAGAAAAAUUACUGAAGCUUCCAAAGCGCAACCCAAAGCUGAAACGAAACAGACAGAAGUCGAAGCUGCAACAAUUCAAGCUGAAACUAAAGCUGAGCCUUUAUAGCCCACUGAGACAGAGCCUGUCGUAGUUGAAGAAAAGACGACAGAGCAAAUUGCGUCUGAAAAGGUUGAAGCUCCUGCUUUCGAAGCUUCAAAAGAAAGCACUGAUUACAUCAUUUUUCAUGCUUCGGGGAAGAGACUUUCUCAAGAAGAAAAGCUAGAAGCACUACACUAUGCCCAAAAAUUAAAAUACCCAAAGGGGGCAUUAAUGUUUAAUGGCAGUGGGGAAGAAGAUUUUUUGUACUGUCUCCCGGAUAAUAAAGAGAUAUCCGUUUGCCGGGAGAUAGGUAGAAGCAUCGGAUUCCCGAAGCUGGAAGAUGGCCUUUCAAUCUUAUCGAAAGAUGAACUUGCUGACAGCUUAGCAUAUAAUAGCAUAAAGGUAUAAAAGCUAAUUUUGUAUUUGUAAACGAAAUAUUUUAUUUGCUAUACUUAAUUAUGUCCUCCUCUUGCAGGGCUUAAUUCUUAGCAAUGCGCUUAGGGCUCAGAAAAAACAUUGAAGAUGAAGGAUAUACGAUGGCUCUGAACAACCUUCGUUCAGAGGUAAUUGAAUUAAGAAACGAAGGUCUUGAAAAAGACAAAAUCUUGAUUUCAUUGGUGAAGAAAGUGAAAGAAGAUGAAGCUAGAUCCAAGGCCCAGGCCGAAAUCCAAAAGAAUGAAAUUGAAGACCUUCGAAAACAGUUGGCUAACCGAAAGAAGAAAGCACACUCGCAGAAGCUAACCGAGAGAUUAGUGAAUAUUGGAAAACCCAUUUAGAGAAAACUGUUGAAGAACUUCGCGCAUCCAAGGAGAGAUGCUUUGAAAAGUCCUUGGAUUGUGUGAAGAAAAUAAAAACUAGUUUCGCCAACGUGGGCGCCUACUCUUCCGAAGAAAACUUCAUACGAGGCGACCCCGAAGGCGUUAUUGAAUGGAUAAGUGGGGAGGUCGAAGCCUUCGAAGAAGUUUUAAGUGAUCGCGGGGAUGUCUACGCGUUCUCCGGUGCGCGGGGAAUUUCAGCCAUCCUGGAGAAGGCAAGAUGCGACCAUAUCAAGACUAUGGCCCAGGGCGAAGCUGCCUUCUCCAUGGAUGAAACAAAGGAUCCUUCAGCUGAAGCAAGUUUAAUAGGCGGGAAAUUUUACAAUGACAUCUGGGUAAAUGGUGGCCGAGAGAUGGCUCACGAAAUUAUGAAGAAAAGUGGAAAAGACAUCCAUGACGCCCGAGUAGAAGCAAAGCGAGCUGAAGAAGCUGCAGAGCGCGAAAAAUGUAUAGGUAAUAUUUUUUGAUGUUCAGCUUCGGAAUUUGUUUUUGUGGCUUUGGACUAAUUAAUUUUUCCGUUGUAGCUGAAUUAUCUCCGCCACCGGAACCGUUCGAUCCCCUGGCCGAUCCACAAAUGAAGGAAGCACUGGAGAUCACUACUAUGGCUGAAUCUAUUGUUGACGAAGUCGUCAAUAAAUUGCUAAAUGAAGUUGUGGAGAAGAUCCUGAAAGAAAACUAGCACUUGUUGUAAAAACAUUUUUAAAUGGUCCAUGUAGCUUUGUUGUAACAAGACUAUAAUAUUUGGUGUGUAUAUCUUUGAAUCUAAUAUGUAAAUUAUUUGUAAUUCACUUCUUUGUGAUGCAUGAAACUUUAUACACAUACCGUUUUUUAGCCUUCAGCGAAAAAACACAUUUCCUUCUUUUCAUGCGUCGUAAAGAUCCAUGCUUCGUGAAAAUAUCCAUGUUUCGUAAAAAUAUCCAUGCUUCGUAAACAAGGGAUCCCUUCUUUUGUAACAGGGCUGAUAAAACUGUAUUUCUCAGCUUACUUUGUGCCUUAGCACAUUUUCAUUUUUACGAAGCAUUCUCCGAAGAUCAACUUCGUAUCCGAUUCGUGUCAUUGAUGUGAUAUGAUGUAUGAUGUGAUGCUAUGCGGGAUGAUGUGAUGAUAUGAUGCAAAAUGAUGCUGAUGCCGAAAGCACACACUCACACUCCCACACUGGAAUACAAUCUCUGCAUUCUCUUAAGAACGACUGAAAUCUCUUUGCCGUUUAUUUUUCGGCUUCACCGCUUAUUUUUCGGUGUAAGUUUUGCAUCCCCUUAGGAACGUCUUUUGAACUUCUUCGCCUUCUAUUUCGGCGGUAUAAGUUCUUGCAUCCCCUUAGGAAUGUCUUUUGAACUUCUUCGCCUUAUAUUUCGGCGGUAUUUGGCUCUGCAUUCCCUUUGGAAUGACUUUUGAGCAUAAAACUUACACUGCGCUCCCUUAGGAACGACUUUUUGUAACUUUGACAAAACUUACACUGCGCUCCCUUAGGAACAACUUUUUGUAGUUUUGGCAAUUUUUAGCUCUGCAUUCCCUUAGGAACGACUUUUGAGCUUCGACAAUUUUUGAGCUUCGUAAGUCUGUGAAGAAGAUAUAUUUCAUUCUGAUAGAAGCGAAACUAUUACAAGGAAUUAAAACUAGAUUUACAUUGCUUGUUCCUUAUUGAAAAACAAAAUGACGUAGAACAUAAAAGUAUUUCAGGGGUAGGAUAUCGCUCAAUAAAUGUGCUUUGAUUCUGGCACAGUACUGUUGACUGUGCGAGCUUCGGAUUCCUCCCUGAACUCCCGUUGCUGUUGGAUGUGCUGGCGCCCUUCUGGCUACUGGCUUCGAGAAUAGGUCAGUUGCAGUGGUGGUGGGGUGGGAGCUGUGGCCAAGAAGCCUGUGAAUGGCUGGCCGAAGCAAAAGAAGCUGCAGGAUGAUUGCCCACAUAUUCUGUAAUGUAGGGAGAGUGGCACGAAGCAGUGUGCAAGACCUGCUUCGGCUGAUUCUGUCGAGCUUCGGCUUCUGCGAUCUCCUUUUGCUUCAGAAUGGUGAUUUGGCACAUUCUUGUAGUAUGGCCUUUCUCCUCACCACAGAAUAAGCAAUAAAUCUUCCUGGGUUGAUCCCCAUAUCUUCCUCCGAAGCUGAAAGGGAAAUGUGCCUUUGGGCCAUUUCUAAGUAUUUUGGUGAUUGAGUGCAAACACAAGUGCUUAAAUGUGAAAAUGUGCCCAUGGAUGAACAAAGUGCAAAUCACAAGUAAAGGUAUGUUUCUAAGCCUUAGUAUAUUGGUUUUGUGUACUAAUAUCUUGUCUAAGUAUUAGAAACAGGAAGAAGAAGAAAAGAAAAGAAGUGGAGAGUGGCUGUGUACAGCCAAAGGCUGCUUCGGGCUGGGGCACCGGACUGUCCGGUGUGCACCGGACAGUGUCCGGUGCGCCAGACCAGCGCGGCGCAAACCAGCCGCUCUCGGGUUUUCUCCGGCGACUUCGGCUAAAAUUCACCGGACUGUCCGGUGUGCACCGGACUGUCCGGUGAGCCAACGGUCGGCCGCGCGAUCGGCGCGCGACACGUGGCCGAGCCAACGGUCGGAAAGGGGCACCGGACUGUCCUGUGUGCACCGGACAUGUCCGGUGCGCCAACGGUGCGCAGAUCUGCAUCAGACAGCAACGGUCGGAUGCACUGUUUAUGGAAACAAAUCGGGCACCGGACAGUGUCCGGUGUGCACCGGACUGUCCGGUGCACCCGACGACAGAAGGCAAGGAUGGCCUUCCAGAUUUAUUCUCAACGGCUCCUAGCUGCCUUGGGGCUAUAAAAGGGACCCCUAGGCGCAUGGAGGAGAAUACCAAGCAUUCCUACAACUCUUCUAAGCACCAAGACAUCAAUCUCACGCAUUCGUUUCAUUGUGAUAGCAUAUAGAGCUCUUGUGGAGUUGUGAACUCUUUGUGUUGCGUUGCGAGCUCUUGUUGCGACUUGUGUGUGUGUUGUUGCUCUGAUUUUCGAGUCUUGUGUGCGUUGCUCAUUCCCACCUUACUUCGUGCUUCUUUGUGAACUCAAUUGUAAGGGCGAGAGACUCCAAGUUGUGGAGAUUCCUCGCAAACGGGAAAAGAUCAAAGGAAAGAAAAACACCGUGGUAUUCAAGUUGAUCAUUGGAUCACUUGAGAGGAGUUGAGUGCAACUCUCGUCCGUUGGGACGCCACAACGUGGAGUAGGCAAGUUUUGUACUUGGCCGAACCACGGGAUAACCACCGUGUCAACUCUGUGAUUGCUUUCUUGUGGUUAUCGGGUUCUGACUCUCUCUAGCCACUUGGCAAUUACUGUGCUAACGCUUAAUCAAAGUUUUGUGGCUAUAAGUUUAAGUUUUUACAGGAUCACCUAUUCACCCCCCCCCCCCUCUAGGUGCUCUCAAUUGGUAUCAGAGCCGUUCUCUUCAAUAAAGGGACUAGCCGCCCGAAGAGAUGGAUCCUAAGGGGAAGGGAAUUGUGAUCAACGACAAGGAGAGGGAGUCCUUCGUCAACGAGCCAAGGGAUGACAAGUCCAACGACUCAAGCUCGGGCCACAGACGCAAAGAUGGGAAGAAGAAGAAGACAAGACGCAUCAAGGAGAUCGUCUACUACGACAGCGAUGAGUCUACUUCUUCCCAAAAGGAUGAGGACAACGACUACAAACAAAAGACGGUUAACUCGAACUUUUCAUUUGAUUAUUCUCGUAUUCCUCAAAGUUCGAAUUCGCAUUUGCUUUCCAUUCCACUCGGCAAGCCCCCACACUUUGAUGGAGAAGACUACGGAUUUUGGAGCCACAAAAUGCGUAGUCACCUAUUCUCUCUCCAUCCAAGCAUGUGGGAGAUUGUAGAGAGUGGAAUGAAAUUUGAUAGCUCGGAUAGUCCUGUGAUUAUAAAUGAACAAAUUCAUAGAAAUGCACAAGCUACUACUGUUCUCUUAGCAUCUUUGUGUAGGGAAGAGUACAAUAAGGUGAGCGGCUUGGACAAUGCCAAGCAAAUAUGGGACACCCUCAAGAUCUCUCACGAGGGCAACGACGUCACCAUGCUCACCAAGAUGGAGUUGGUGGAGGGCGAACUUGGGAGAUUUGCUAUGAUAAGGGGGGAGGAGCCAACCCAAACAUACAAUCGGCUCAAGACCCUUGUCAACAAGAUAAGGAGCUACGGGAGCACGCGAUGGACGGAUCACGACGUCGUCCGCCUAAUGCUAAGGUCUUUUACCAUUCUUGAUCCUCAUUUGGUGAACAACAUUCGUGAAAAUCCUAGGUACACCAAGAUGUCGCCCGAAGAAAUUCUUGGGAAGUUCGUAAGCGGGCGGAUGAUGAUCAAGGAGGCAAGAUAUGUGGACGACGCGUUGAACGGUCCUAUUCAUGAGCCUCAACCCGUUGCUCUCAAGGCAACAAGGAGUAAGGAGGCGCUACCGAGCAAGGUGGCGCAAGUUGAGGCGGACGGGCUAAAUAAUGAGGAGAUGGCCCUCAUCAUAAAGCGCUUCAAGACGGCGCUUAAAGGUCGCAAGGGACAGCCAAGCAAGACCAAAGCCAAGGGGAAGCGCUCAUGCUUCAAAUGCGGUAAGCUUGGUCAUUUUAUUGCUAACUGUCCCGACAAUGAUAGUGAUCAGGACCAAGGGAACAAGAGGGAAAAGAAGAAGCACUACAAGAAGGCAAAGGGCGAGGCGCAUCUAGGCAAGGAAUGGGACUCGGAUUGCUCCUCUUCCGACUCCGACAAUGAAGGACUCGCCGCCACCGCCUUCAACAAAUCAACCCUCUUCCCCAACGAGCGUCACACAUGCCUUAUGGCAAGGGAGAAGAAGGUAUGUACUCGGAACUCUACCUAUGCUUCUUCAAGUGAGGACGAAUCUAGUGAUGAAGAUGAAGUAGAUUACUCAUGUUUGUUUAAAGGUCUAGAUAGAACCAAGGUAGACAAAAUUAAUGAAUUGAUUGAUGCUCUAAAUGAGAAGAACAUGCUUUUAGAGAAACAAGAGGAUUUAUUGUAUGAAGAACAUGAUAAAUUUAUAGAAGCUCAAAAAUCCUAUGCUUUAGAAGUUAAAAGAAAUGAAAUGCUUUCUUUUGAACUAUCUACUUGUCAUGAAACCAUCUCUACUUUAAAAGGUGUCAACAAUGAUUUAAAUGCUAAAUUAGAAGUAGCAAAUAAAUCCAAUUCUUGUGUAGAACAUGUCGCAAUUUGUUCUAGGUGUAAAGAUUUUGAUAUUAAUGCUUGUAGUGAACACUUAGUUUCUAUUUCAAAAUUAAAUGAUGAAUUAGCUAGUCUUAAUGCACAACUUAAGACUAGCAAGAGUGAUUUUGAUAAACUGAAAUUUGCUAGGGAUGCCUACACUGUUGGUAGACACCCCUCCAUUAAGGAUGGACUUGGCUUCAAAAGGGAAGCCAAGAACUUAACAAGCCAUAAGGCUCCCAUUCCCGCAAAGGAGAAAGGGAAGGCCCCUAUGGCUACUAGCACUAAAAAGAACCAUGCUUUUUUAUAUCAUGAUAGAAGACAAUCUAGAAGUGCUUAUAGGGGUUAUAAUGCUUAUGAUGAUUUUGAUUCUCAUCACAUGAUUGCUUCUAGCUCUUCUUAUAUGCAUGGUAGAAAUAUGUCUAGGAGAAAUGCUAUUCAUCAUGUGCCUAGAAAGAAUGUUAGUCAUGCUCCUAGGAAAGUAGUAAAUGAAUUUUCUACAGUAUAUCAUGCUUUGAAUGCUUCCUUUGCAAUUUGUAGAAAGGAUAGAAAAGUAAUUGCUAGGAAGUUAGGGGCUAAAUGCAAGGGUGAUAAAACUUGCAUUUGGGUCCCUAAGAAGAUUUGUGCUAACCUUGUAGGACCCAACAUGAGUUGGGUACCUAAAACCCAAGCCUAAAUUUGCCUUGCAGGUUUAUGCAUCCGGGGGUUCAAGCUGGAUUAUAGACAGCGGAUGCACAAACCAUAUGACGGGGGAGAAGAAGAUGUUCACCUCCUACGUCAAGAGUAAGGAUUCCCAAGAUUCAAUUAUAUUCGGUGAUGGGAAUCAAGGCAAGGUAAAAGGGUUAGGUAAAAUUGCAAUAUCUAAUGAGCAUUCUAUUUCAAAUGUGUUUUUAGUAGAGUCUCUUGGUUAUAAUUUACUAUCUGUUAGUCAAUUAUGCAAUAUGGGGUAUAACUGUUUAUUCACAAACAUAGAUGUGUCUGUCUUUAGAAGAAGUGAUGGUUCACUAGCUUUUAAGGGUGUAUUAGACGGCAAACUUUAUUUAGUUGAUUUUGCAAAAGAAGAGGCCGGUCUAGAUGCAUGCUUAAUAGCUAAGACUAGCAUGGGCUGGCUGUGGCAUCGCCGCUUAGCACAUGUGGGGAUGAAGAACCUUCACAAGCUUCUAAAGGGAGAACAUGUGAUAGGUUUGACUAACGUGCAAUUCGAAAAGGAUAGACCUUGUGCAGCUUGUCAAGCAGGUAAACAAGUGGGAGGAGUGCAUCACAGCAAGAAUGUGAUGACCACUUCAAGACCUCUGGAGCUGCUGCAUAUGGACCUCUUCGGACCCGUCGCCUAUCUGAGCAUAGGAGGAAGUAAGUAUGGUCUAGUAAUUGUUGAUGACUUUUCCCGCUUCACUUGGGUGUUCUUUUUGCAGGAUAAGUCUGAAACCCAAGGGACCCUCAAGCGCUUCCUCAGGAGAGCUCAAAAUGAGUUUGAGCUCAAAGUGAAGAAGAUAAGGAGCGACAACGGGUCCGAGUUCAAGAACCUUCAAGUGGAGGAGUUCCUUGAAGAGGAAGGGAUCAAGCACGAGUUCUCCGCUCCCUACACACCACAGCAAAAUGGUGUGGUAGAGAGGAAGAACAGGACGCUCAUCGACAUGGCGAGGACGAUGCUAGGAGAGUUCAAGACCCCCGAGUGCUUUUGGACGGAAGCCGUUAACACGGCUUGCCACGCCAUCAACAGGGUCUACCUUCAUCGCCUCCUCAAGAAGACGUCGUAUGAGCUACUAACCGGUAACAAACCCAAUGUAUCUUACUUUCGUGUAUUUGGGAGCAAGUGCUACAUUCUAGUGAAGAAGGGUAGAAAUUCUAAAUUUGCUCCCAAAGCUGUAGAAGGGUUUUUGUUAGGUUAUGACUCAAAUACAAAGGCGUAUAGAGUCUUCAACAAGUCAUCGGGCUUGGUUGAAGUCUCUAGCGACGUUGUAUUUGAUGAGACUAAUGGCUCUCCAAGAGAGCAAGUUGUUGAUCUUGAUGAUGUAGAUGAAGAAGAUGUUCCAACGGCCGCCAUGCGCACCAUGGCGAUUGGUGAUGUGCGACCACAGGAACACUUGGAGCGAGAUCAACCUUCUUCCUCAACUAUGGUGCAUCCCCCAACUCAAGACGAUGAACAGGUUAAUCAACAGGAGGCAGGUGAUCAAGGGGGAGCACAAGAUGAUCAUGUGAUGGAGGAAGAAGCGCAACCGACACCUCCAACCCAAGUUCGAGCGAUGAUUCAACGGGAUCAUCCCGUCGACCAAAUUCUGGGUGACAUUAGCAAGGGAGUAACUACUCGAUCUCGAUUAGUUAAUUUUUGUGAGCAUUACUCCUUUGUCUCUUCUAUUGAGCCUUUCAGGGUAGAGGAGGCCUUGCUAGAUCCGGACUGGGUGUUGGCCAUGCAGGAGGAACUCAACAACUUCAAAAGGAAUGAAGUUUGGACGCUGGUGCCUCGUCCCAAGCAGAAUGUUGUGGGAACCAAGUGGGUGUUCCGCAACAAACAAGACGAGCACGGAGUGGUGACAAGGAACAAGGCUCGACUUGUGGCAAAAGGUUAUGCCCAAGUCGCAGGUUUGGAUUUUGAGGAGACUUUUGCUCCUGUGGCUAGGCUAGAGUCUAUUCGUAUCUUGCUAGCAUAUGCCGCUCACCAUUCUUUCAGGUUGUUCCAAAUGGAUGUGAAGAGCGCUUUCCUCAACGGGCCAAUCAAGGAGGAGGUGUACGUGGAGCAACCCCCUGGCUUCGAGGAUGAACGGUACCCCGACCAUGUGUGUAAGCUCUCUAAGGCGCUCUAUGGACUUAAGCAAGCCCCAAGAGCAUGGUAUGAAUGCCUUAGAGACUUUCUAAUUGUUAAUGCUUUCAAGGUUGGGAAAGCCGAUCCAACUCUUUUUACAAAAACAUGUGAUGGUGAUUUGUUUGUGUGCCAAAUUUAUGUCGAUGACAUAAUAUUUGGUUCUACUAACCAAAAGUCUUGUGAAGAGUUUAGCAGGGUGAUGACGCAGAAAUUCGAGAUGUCGAUGAUGGGUGAGUUGAACUACUUCCUUGGGUUCCAAGUAAAGCAACUCAAGGAAGGCACCUUCAUCUCCCAAACGAAGUACACGCAAGAUCUGCUGAAGCGGUUUGGGAUGAAGGACGCCAAGCCCGCAAAGACUCCGAUGGGAACCGACGGACACACCGACCUCAACAAAGGAGGUAAGUCCGUUGAUCAAAAAGCAUACCGGUCAAUGAUAGGGUCUUUACUUUAUUUAUGUGCUAGUAGACCGGAUAUUAUGCUUAGCGUAUGCAUGUGUGCUAGAUUUCAAUCCGAUCCUAAGGAGUGUCACUUAGUGGCGGUGAAGCGAAUCCUUAGAUAUUUAGUUGCUACGCCUUGCUUCGGGCUCUGGUAUCCAAAGGGGUCUACCUUUGACUUGGUUGGAUACUCAGACUCCGACUAUGCUGGAUGUAAGGUCGAUAGGAAGAGCACAUCGGGGACGUGCCAAUUCUUAGGAAGGUCCCUGGUGUCAUGGAACUCUAAGAAACAAACAUCCGUUGCCCUAUCCACCGCUGAGGCCGAGUAUGUUGCCGCAGGACAGUGUUGCGCGCAACUACUCUAGAUGAGGCAAACCCUCAGGGACUUUGGCUACAAUCUGAGCAAAGUCCCACUCCUAUGUGAUAAUGAGAGUGCUAUCCGCAUGGCGGAAAAUCCUGUUGAACACAGCCGCACAAAGCACAUAGACAUCCGGCAUCACUUUUUGAGAGACCACCAGCAAAAGGGGGAUAUCGAAGUGUUUCAUGUUAGCACCGAGAACCAGCUAGCCGAUAUCUUUACCAAGCCUCUAGAUGAGAAGACCUUUUGCAGGCUGCGUAGUGAGCUAAAUGUCUUAGAUUCGCGGAACUUGGAUUGAACUGUAGCAUACAUGUGUUUAUGCCCUUGAUCAUGUUCAUUCUGCAUUUUGUUGCUUAUAUUGGUGCUCAAGUUGUACAAACACUCCCUGGACCUCACAAGUCCGUUGCAAAGUGAUGCACAUGUUUAGGGGGAGAUGUGUUACAACUUGACCCUUUGAGACUAACCAUAUGCUUGAGUUUGCUUGAUUUAGUCUCGAAGGAGAAUUGAAAGGGAAAGGUGGACUUGGACCAAUGAAAGACUUCCACUGCACUCCGAUGAGAGGGUAACUUAUUCCAAGUUCAUCUCACGUACUCUUAUUGCCAUUUGAUCUUAAUUGAAGAUUUUGGUGAGGCAAUGGGGUUAAAGGGCCAAAGUUGGUCCCGUUUUGGUGCUUGAUGCCAAAGGGGGAGAAAAUAAAGGCCAAAGCAAUAAAUGGAUCAGCUACCACUUGAGAAAUUUUGAAAAUAGUGAAAUAUAGCUUUUUGUUUUGUCAAAACUCUCUUGUUGUCUCUUUUGUCAAAAGUUGGUUUCUUGUGGGGAAAAGUAAUGAUUAUGGGAAAUAGGAGGAGUUUUUGAAAUCUUUGAUCAAUCUCGUUUGGAAUGACUCUCUUUAUGCUUCAACAUGUGUGCUUGACUUAGUGAUAGAGAUUUGAGGUUGAUUUGCAAAAACAAACCAAGUGGUGGCAAAAGAUGAUCCAUAUAUGCCAAAUUUGAAUAAAACUCAAAGUCAGUUUUUAUUUGAAGUGAUUUUGCACUUGUUCUAGUUGCUUUAUGUUGUGUUGGCAUAAAUCACCAAAAAGGGGGAGAUUGAAAGGGAAAUGUGCCUUUGGGCCAUUUCUAAGUAUUUUGGUGAUUGAGUGCAAACACAAGUGCUUAAAUGUGAAAAUGUGCCCAUGGAUGAACAAAGUGCAAAUCACAAGUAAAGGUAUGUUUCUAAGCCUUAGUAUAUUGGUUUUGUGUACUAAUAUCUUGUCUAAGUAUUAGAAACAGGAAGAAGAAGAAAAGAAAAGAAGUGGAGAGUGGCUGUGUACAGCCAAAGGCUGCUUCGGGCUGGGGCACCGGACUGUCCGGUGUGCACCGGACAGUGUCCGGUGCGCCAGACCAGCGCGGCGCAAACCAGCCGCUCUCAGGUUUUCUCCGGCGACUUCGGCUAAAAUUCACCGGACUGUCCGGUGUGCACCGGACUGUCCGGUGAGCCAACGGUCGGCCGGGCCAACGGUCGGCCGCGCGAUCGGCGCGCGACACGUGGCCGAGCCAACGGUCGGAAAGGGGCACCGGACUGUCCUGUGUGCACCGGACAUGUCCGGUGCGCCAACGGUGCGCAGAUCUACAUCAGACAGCAACGGUCGGAUGCACUGUUUAUGGAAACAAAUCGGGCACCGGACAGUGUCCGGUGUGCACCGGACUGUCCGGUGCACCCGACGACAGAAGGCAAGGAUGGCCUUCCAGAUUUAUUCUCAACGGCUCCUAGCUGCCUUGGGGCUAUAAAAGGGACCCCUAGGCGCAUGGAGGAGAAUACCAAGCAUUCCUACAACUCUUCUAAGCACCAAGACAUCAAUCUCACGCAUUCGUUUCAUUGUGAUAGCAUAUAGAGCUCUUGUGGAGUUGUGAACUCUUUGUGUUGCGUUGCGAGCUCUUGUUGCGACUUGUGUGUGUGUUGUUGCUCUGAUUUUCGAGUCUUGUGUGCGUUGCUCAUUCCCACCUUACUUCGUGCUUCUUUGUGAACUCAAUUGUAAGGGCGAGAGACUCCAAGUUGUGGAGAUUCCUCGCAAACGGGAAAAGAUCAAAGGAAAGAAAAACACCGUGGUAUUCAAGUUGAUCAUUGGAUCACUUGAGAGGAGUUGAGUGCAACUCUCGUCCGUUGGGACGCCACAACGUGGAGUAGGCAAGUUUUGUACUUGGCCGAACCACGGGAUAACCACCGUGUCAACUCUGUGAUUGCUUUCUUGUGGUUAUCGGGUUCUGACUCUCUCUAGCCACUUGGCAAUUACUGUGCUAACGCUUAAUCAAAGUUUUGUGGCUAUAAGUUUAAGUUUUUACAGGAUCACCUAUUCACCCCCCCCCUCUAGGUGCUCUCAGAAGCCCCUGGCGUCUCUGCCCCUUGGAGCUGGCGGCCUGAAAGAACUUUGUUGUUGCCCCGAAGAUUGUGAGGUGUACUGUGGCCUCUGAAGCUGGCUUCAUUUGUCGUCAUUCUGACUGGAAUUAUGGAUUGACCUGACAUGCCUCGGGUGGAUUCUUCCUCCGAAGCCCCUGGUCAUCUCCGAGAAUCUGUAAGCUUCCUCCCUUCUUUGGCGGAAGUCGUUGUCAGCCCGGAUGUAUUCAUCCAUCUUCUGAAGCAGCUUCUCCAGGGUUUGUGGGGGCUUCCUAGCGAAGUACUGAGCCAUAGGUCCUGGCCGAAGACCCUUAAUCAUGGCCUCAAUAACAAUUUAAUUGGGCACUGUGGGCGCUUGUGCCCUUAAUCGCAAGAACCUUCGGACAUACGCCUGGAGGUAUUCCUCAUGGUCUUGAGUGCACUGGAACAAGGCCUGAGCUGUGACUGGCUUCGUCUGAAAGACUUGGAAACUGGUCACCAGCAUGUCCUUGAGCUUCUGCCACGACGUGAUUGUCUCUGGCCGAAGGGAAGAAUACCAUGUCUGGGCCACAUUCCGGACUGCCAUGACGAAGGACUUAGCCAUGACAGAUGCAUUGCCUCCGUAUGAGGAUAUUGUUGCCUCAUAGCUCAUCAGAAAUUGUUUUGGGUCUGAGUGCCCAUCGUACAUGGGUAGCUGGGGUGGCUUGUAGGAUUGUGGCCAUGGGAUACCCUGCAAUUCUGCUGCCAAGGGAGAAGCAUCAUUGUCGAGGACCAUAAUUAGGGGUACCCUCAAGACUCCUAAUUCUCAGCUGGUAACCCCCAUCAGCACAAAGCUGCAAAGGCCUGAUGGGUGUGUUUAAGUCAGGGAUCGGUCCAUUCGAGGGACUCGAUCACGCCUCGCCCGAGCCUAGCCUCGGGCAAGGGCAGCCGACCCCGGAGGAUCUCCGUCUCGCCCGAGGCCCCCCUCCAGCGACGAACAUACUUCCGGCUCGCCCGAGGCCCUGUCUUCGCCAAGAAGCAACCCUGACCAAAUCGCCGCGCCAACCGACCAAAUCGCAGGAGCAUUUAAUGCAAAGGUGGCCUGACACCUUUAUCCUGACGCGCGCCCUUCAGUCAGCAGAGCCGAAGUGACCGCAGUCACUUCGCCGCUCCACUGACCGGCCUGACAGAAGGACAACGCCGCCUGCGCCGCACCGACUGUUGUGCCACUUGACAGAGUGAGGCUGACAGGCAGUCAAGCCCGGCCUCAGGCACCAUAGGAAGCUCCGCUUCGCCCGACCCAGGGCUCGGACUUGGGCUCAGCCCCGGAAGACGACGAACUCCGCUCCGCCCGACCCAGGGCUCGGACUCGGGCUAAGCCCCGGAAGACGGCGAACUCCGCUCCGCCCAACCCAGGGCUCGGACUCGGGCUAAGCCCCGGAAGACGGCGAACUCCGCUCCGCCCGACCCAGGGCUCGGACUCGGGCUCAGCCCCUGAAGACGGCAAACUCCGCUCCGCCCGACCCAGGGCUCGGACUCGGGCUCAGCCCCUGAAGACGACGAACUCCGCUUCGCCCGACCUCAGGGCUCGACUCAGCCCUGGCCUCAGCCGACGGUCUCCGCCUCGCCCGACCCAGGGGCUCGGACUCGACCUCGGCCUCGGAAGACAGACUCGACCUCGACCUCGGAGGAGCCUCCACAUCGCCCAACCUAGGGCGCGGACCGGCCACGUCAACAAGAGGCGCCAUCAUUACCCUACCCCAAGCUGACUCAGGCUACGGGAAACAAGACCGGCGUCCCAUCUGGCUCGCUCCGCCAGACAAAGUAAUGAUGGCGCCCCGCACGCUCUAUGACGAUGGCGGCUCUCAGCCUCCUUACGGAAGCAAGAGGACGUCAGCAAGGACUCGACAGCCCCGACAGCUGUCCUUCCGCCAGGCUUCAACGCUCCUCCGACGGCCACGACACCACACGAACCGGGUGCCAAAACCUCUCCGGCUGCCACGAUGACAUGUACUUAGGGCGCUAGCUCUCCUCCGCUAGACACGUUAGCACUCUGCUACACCCCCAUUGUACACCUGGAUCCUCUCCUUACGCCUAUAAAAGGACGGACCAGGCCCUCUUACAGAGGGUUGGCCGCGCGGGGACGAGGACGAGACAGGCGCUCGCAUGAGGCCGCUCGCUCCCUCUCCCGCGUGGACGCUUGUAACCCCCUACUGCAAGCGCACCUGACCUGGGCGCGGGACGAACACGAAGGCCGCGGGAUUUCCACCUCUCUCACGCCCGUCUCCGGCCGCCUUUUCCCCCCUUCGCGCUCGGCCUCGCGCCGACCCAUCUGGGCUGGGGCAUGCGGCGACAUUUCACUCGUCGGCCCAGGGACCCCCCGGUCUCGAAACGCCGACAAUCAUCAAAAGUAAAGGUAUCAUGAUUAAAAUCAUCAUACCAUCCAUCCUCGUUGAAUAAGCCUUCCUGACGAAGCUCCUUGUGUUGGGGCCUUCGGUCUUGUUCAUCUUGAGCAAGAUGACGCACUUCUUCAGUAGCUUCGUCGAUCUUCCUUUGAAGAUCGGCCAACCGAGCUAUCUUCUCCUUCUUCCUUUGUACUUGUUGAUGGAUGAUUUCCAUGUCCCUGAUCUCUUGGUCCAGCUUCUCCUGGAGUGUUGGACCGGUGGUCUUUCUCUUCUGGCUUCGAGCUUCUCGGAGAGAGAGUCUCCUGAUUUGUGUCCAGUGGCUGCAGUGCAGCAGCCCCUGGUGCUGAAGCUUUCUUCGGUGGCAUGACAAAGGUCAGAGCUUGCCGAAGGUGGUCGAAUGAGUUCACCGGAGGUGGGCGCCAAUAUUGGGGACUUGUUCUCAAAUGCUAUGAGUUAAGAAUAAGGCAACACAAAAAUAGGUUAAUGGUUAAUACCCUUCGUCCUUCGAAUCAUUAUUUCCCUAAGGUUAUAACGAUCUUUGGACGAAGGUUAUGAAGGACAUACCUUCAUAAUCACAGUAUAUAUCAAUGAAAGGCGAAGCAUAUGAAACAUGAGAAAUAACAUAAAUAAUCAUAUGACAUCAUCUUAAUAUAUCUUUUAUUAUAUAAACAUGAAUGAAUAAGAAUAACAUAGAAUUACAUUUUGUACCUUCGGCCUGACAGAAGGUGAAAGUACAAGCGUGACGCACGAGCAAGUACAAAUCAGCGUGAACAGUACGGGGUAUUGUUCAUCUAUUUAUAGGCACAGGGCGCAGCCUGUGUAAAUUUACAUUCAUGCCCUUUAUAUUUACUAUUGACUUAUGGAUAAACCAAUGAGGACUAAAUAGCCCUUUUCUCCUUUAGGUCGGAUCCUUUUUCCGCCACUUAGCCGAAGCUCCCUUACGUGUAGCUUCGGAGCAACAUUAGCCUUCGUCUCAAUCAUGCUUUUCUCAUCGCGUAUGGUUUUAACCCGAGUCCGAAGGUACCUGUUCAUAUGUCACACUUGAAAAACAUUGUUAAAUCAUGUUUUUAAGGAUCUUCGGAAGACGAAGGCCCCCAACAAUGCCCAGUCCUAGUCCGGACAUGUGCAGAUCGGCUAGUUUAUUGCCGAUUUGCGUAUGAGGUUGUGGUUGCUCAGGAUAUAUGUCUAUCGGCAUCCCAUAAAGGGGUUGUGACUGGUCGUGACAACCUGUAGCCGAUGAAUUACGUGUGUUUUCCACCAAUUCAACCUCGUGCGAAGAAAAAUUUGCGACAGUAGAUUUAUCGAACGCACGUACUAGCCUCAUAUAAUCUUUUUGCAUUCCCUCUAUGAUAUUUUGCAUUUAGUCUCAUUGCUCAUCUACCAUUGGGACUUUUACCGGGUCGGUGGCUACACCCUCUUAGCUGAUCACAUGGCCGAGGUAGUGGAGUUUGUUUUGAGCGAAAGAGCACUUGGACAGGUUGACCUUGAAAUGAUGUUGAUCAAGAGUGAAAAAUACCGCUUGCAAGUGUUGAAGAUGAUAUGUCCAGUUGACGUUAUAGAUCAAUAUAUAUAAACACCACUACCACCGUAGGAGUAGCUCAAGGAUAUUUCGAAAACGAAGUAAAAGCUCACGUGUACAGUUCAUGUAUAAAUCUCACGUGCAUCGAAUGGAUUUACACGCAUGUUUAUGCUAAGAUGUACACGAAGAAUUUUCCCUAUCAAUCUUCUUCCUCACUCUGCUGAUCUUCUCCCAGUUCCCAGAUCAAAAACCCAGAAACAUGACUGCGAGUGACCUAGCAGAGAUGGGAAGAAACCCAAGCAGCAUGUCAGCGAGUGACAGGGAGGCUGUUCAACUCAACCUUUCCCCACACCCAAGUUGAAUGGCACAUGCGACCAGCCAACAUGAAGAAACGGGGAAAGGAACAGGGAUUCAUUUUCAUUCAUCAUUAUUAGUUUCGGUUUAGUUACAACUUCUAUGUCAAAAAAAAUAUUACACUCGUCAUGUAUCAAAUUCCCUAAAGCAGUCAGAUGCCGCAGGGGACAUCCAUCAAACAAUCCCAGCUCUGAAAAGAAAAGAAAAGAAAAAACUACGACUACCCACUGCCACCACUAAAAUAAAAUGAAGCAGGGUAGAAAUGGGGUAAAUCCUACCGACCUAGCAUUCCUCCUCUAAUCCCCUAGAACAGAUCAACACAUCGGGCAACAGAUUAAACACCAGCACUUGCCCGGUGCCAUCCCUCGAGUAGAAUUUACAGAGAUUGAGCCUUAGCAACAGCAGAUAUCGCGCAAUGGCAGGCCAGUAAGUAGGACAAGACUGAAACGGGCAAAUCAUGGCUGCACCCUUGCUGUGACACUGGAAUGUACAGUAAGAAAGAGGUCACACAUAGGUUGCGACCUGUAUCACUACCAUCUAUAUCUCCAAUCUACCUGACCACUACCAUCUAUAUCUCCAAUCUACCUGACCGCGUUGUUAUGCUGCCAGAGAACUGAGAAGCCUCUAAAUGCAGAUAGAUAGAAUCUACAGGGGAAGCCAGGAGCAUUGUGGUUACGAUGCUCAUGAAUCUAUGUCUUUCUUCCUCUUCCCCUUGUUUCCAGACCUUGCAUUGUCAGCUGGCUGCAGGUUUGGAGCUGGAUCCUUUGUGUACAUGAUGCAGUCGUCGAGGGUGUAAAUCCUGAGCGCAAGCGAUGAUACAGUUGUUGUCUUGAUAGCUGCAGUGAAGGAGGACCAGUACCACCAAUCUUUCUUCAGAAACUCGGCUUUUAUCAUGCUCUGCAAGAAAUUGAUUGCCAAUACCACCUAAAAGAGGCGAAGACAUGAUUAAUCAGUAACUGAAUCAUACUACAAUUAUCUCUAGGUUUCUAGCAUAACUAAAACUGCAAUUUCACAGACUUGAGUUAGAAGGGACAGGGAGGAUUACAGAUUAGGUCCCACAACCACACUCGGAUCCAUCGCACUGUCAAUUUGCUAAUUACAUCCUUAAUUUUAGGAUUCUGGCCUAUAUCUCAGUUUGGAGACUAGAUCAUGCACUAGUCAUUUUUAAUCAAACAUAGAGGCAGCUAACGUGAAAUUAAAAUUUUCAAAUGCACGGUAGGGUAUGAGUUUAGAAGGAGCAAUAAGUCAUAAAUUAGGAACAAGAAAAAAUGAAGAAGAUUAUCUGCUUAGGGAAGUAGUGAGAUUUCUUAGGAAAUUAGAGGUAUAGAUCAAGUUGGUUUCAGUACCAGUAGAGAUUAGUUUCUUAGGAACUAAAAAUGGUUCCUGGAAACUCACUGAAAAAGAAAAUGUUACUUUUUAAAGAAAAAAACAGUAAAUUGAAAAUACACAAAUAGGGUGACAUACAUAUGAUAUUAAUUCUGCAUCCUUCACAAAAGCACGCCAUGAACGUCUUCUUAUUUGCUGAGACUUUGAGGCUCUGAAUGCUUCCUCAGGCAAAGCUGCUUCUAUGUCAAGCAAGUUAAUCUUUAGCUGCUUCAGGAUAUGAAAAUUCCUGCCUAUUACAGGCAUCAGUGAUGACUCUGGAACCAAUCCCCCAUUAACAGUUAGCAAUCUUGUGGAUAUGUCUGUUGAAGGUGCUUCCUUGGCUGAAGUACUAUCCCUGACAGGCUUCUUAGAUUUUGGCAACUCCUCAUCACCUGCAUUGCCAGAAAAAUCUUGGCCAACUUGAGAUCCCUCUUGCCCUGACAUUUUGGCAGACACAGCUUGGCAUUCCUGCAAUGAGGAAGUCCAAUCAUUUGGUUUAUCGUCAUUUCUUUUACUUUCAUUUAGCAGAACUGGCGGGUCAAGGAAAUAUGCAGGUGAAGGUACACAAGAUGGAAUUCCAUUUGAGCCAAGCAGCCCAAUCUCCUUCACCGUCUCCUUGAUUGAAUCAUUUGUGGUAAAUUUUCUACAAAUUUCUUCAAAGUCAUAAGGGCAUGACUCCAAUUUUCCACUGUUAGAUGGUUCAACGGAACAAUUAUGAACUACAGGAUCUUUUUCCUUUAUAUCAGACUUGCUGCCCUUCAGUUUCGGCUCAUCAAUUUCUUUACUUUCAUUAGGACAGUCGUUACUGCUGGUGCAUUUUCCACCAUUAUGCCCUUCAUAUUCCAUCAAUGUGAGAUAAGUUUCAUGACAAUUUAAGCAAUGGUGUCGAGAAGGCCAUAUAGGCUCUAAACAGUCGCAGCGAUAUACUCUUUCUUCAGAACCCGACCUUGACUUCGUUCCUCUCCUUUUGGAUAGCUCACUAGUGUCCUGAUCCGUUUGCAGACCAUACUUUUGCUCCAAAACUAUAAAAGCAUUGGUGUUUGGAAGCUCCAUAAGUGGCUCACUCUUUGAAAACUUGGACACUGGAGGAUCAGUGAUGGGGAAACUAGCCUGGCGAUAAAUAGACUUUUGCCAGUGCAAGAUAGAGUCUUUCAGAUCCUUCUCCCUUGGAUCAAUGUCCCUUAGCCAGUCAACAAGACACUUCAUUUCUUCAUCAGAUUCAUAAAUAACAAGUGAUGCCGAAUUCCAACCUCUAUCGAAUGUUGACUGAGAAUGGCUUGUAACCAUGCUAAUGUCUCUGUCCUUGGGUAUCAUCAUGCUUCCAUCUGCAACAAGACGAGGACGCUUACAAGGUCUUCCUGUAACCCAGUACAAUCGACCAACAGAAUCCCUACCCAGGCACUCUCCUCUCAAGGAUGCCAUACUAAGCUGUGACUCUACUGUGCUAAUUGAACCAUGCAACUGUGAAAUCCUCUCCAAUAAAUUAUUUGAUUCGUUCAUAUCAGCAUCAUGGUCAACCAGUUUAGAUGUCGAUGUUUCAAUAUUAUCUUGGGACAAUGUCAUAGCAUUUUCAUCAGGUAAAUCUCCAUUUGGUGCAUUGAUAACUGUAGCAGCAUGAGUCUCUCCCACAUUCGGAUCACAAGUACCACUUUUGCCAACUAAUGAUUUCUCGCAACUAUUGGAUCCUUCGGCAAUAGAGUCCCGAUCAGUCUGGUCAGUAAUUAUCUUUGAUGGUUGUUCUGAAAGCCCCAAAGAUUUAUUUCCUUCAAUAACAGAUGUGCUGGAUAUGCCAUUGUCAGUACUGCAAGGUUUACCCACAUCCAAUAGUGCAGCAGGAACCCCUUCAGCAGGGUUGUUCAGGUUAACUCCAACAUUAACCUGUUCAGCCUCUUCAAGAUGCUCUGAGGCUGUGGGCAUAGCACGCUGCUGAUUCUCCACGAGUCCUGAACUAUUGCUUACUUGGUCAUUUUUCAUCCAUCUACUUUGUGUGGCAUAAGGAUUUUUUAUUUCUACCCGAUACCUUAACUCUUUCAGUUCAUAAUUCAGGUGACGUAAUUUCUGCUGGAGAUCAUUUGACUUGUCUGAACACUGAUCUAGAUGUUCUCUGAUGAGAGCUGUGUUGUGCAAUUCGUCACAUAGAAAUUUUAGCAAAUAGAUUCUCUGCAAUUGAAGAUCAAAAUAACAUAUCAGAAGGUUGUCACUUAUCUGCUAUAGAAAAUAGGAUGACAAAUAGCGUUUAUGGUGAUACAACCCCCGCUGAUCAAAGGCCUAUUUGUUAUGUAAUCUUGCUGCAGAUUACAAAGUUUGCAUGUAGAUUAAAUUUAUGGCUAUUUCCUCUAUACGGCUCUUAUUAGAUUCUUUCCUAAGCAUUUAAACAUGCUGACAACACAAACUAACAUUUAAAAUCUGUGACUAGUCAAAAUGUGAUGUAUAAAAGAGUCUUAAUAGUACAGUAAAAAUAUAGUGCAGAGCACAUCCAUGGACUGAUGAAAGCAUCCCUAAUUAUUGAUUGGCAAAAGACUUGGAAAAUAUCUACAAAAGAAAAAAAAUGUUCCGCUAGAGGAUGAGUUCUGAUAUGUUUAUGCCCUGAAGCUUGAGUGCCAAUAUGAUCUCACAAAUGCAAAAUCUUCAACAACUUAAAAUAACUUUAAGAGGAUAUAUUUGCAUGUUCACCCACUUCCUUUAUCUGGGAUGAAGGAAUACAAAAACUUCUAAGUAAAUGAUAGACAAAAUACAUGAAAACCCUUCAAAGAGUGACGAACUGAUAACUUCACUUCAAUUCAAAGACAGAGAUGAGAGCAGACCUCUGCUACGGUUAGCUCCCAGUACUCUUUCUCAUCCAUCGCAACAGCUAACUUGUUGAGUUUCUCAAUAAAAACAUGAGCUUCCUCCCCAAGGCACUUCUUUUGUUCUUGCACUGCAACAUGAGUUUGGGCAGUACAUGAUGGACAAUACCAGUUUCCAAGCGGUAUGCGUGCCAGUGGUGGGUUCAGGCAAUAAGUGUGGUAUUCAGAGUCACAAUUAUCACAUAGAAGAACGCUCUCGUCAUCACGGUCGAUUCCACAGACUUUGCAGACACCAUCCUCCCAUGGUGCUUUCGGCAGUUUAUUGUUUGCUGCCGUGAGAGCAUCUUGUAGCUCCUGGUGGAUUUCUGAGCUAUCAUUUUCAUUGCUUAGAUAUCUGUCAAAUUUCUCAACAAGGUCUUGUACCUGCACCAGUCAAGUAAACGAUGUACAAGAAGAUUCAGUAAGAAACUCAUGAUCAUACUACUUAAUAAACAGAAAUUUCACACUAAGACCAAUGCAUAAAGCUGGUAUCUAAACAAUACCACUGAGAAAUAUAGAUUGAUAUUUUAGAGUGCGAGUGCUAAAAUAGAACAAAAGGAACUCUAUGGAGUUUGUUAACAAUUUGCAAUCACUUCAAAGAACUAAGAGAAGGUUCUUAUGAAUAUAGUAAGCUAAAAUGUAAAAUCACACAUCCCUGAACAUAAAAUGCAAGAUCCUACAGGGACAGACAGAAAUAACGAACCUCUGUCUUAUACAAUGACUCAAAACUCUCAGACAGUGCAACAACCAUUAUCAGCACUUCAGGUCGAUCAGCAAAUGCAGUUUGCAGAUUACAAAUUACCUGCAGGUAAACACAAAGGCAACAUAAUCUCAAUUUGACCAUGGAAUUUCUUGCAGUUGAAGUAGAAGUGCUGAUAAGAGGACAUCCACCAAUAAACCUCAUUCGGCGGGAGGGGGUGGGUGGGGGGUGCAAAAACAAUAGGAAGAAAAGAUCCCCUUGUGAUUUAUCUUAGGGGGGGAUACCAAAUCCUUUAGGGAGUGCCUUCUCAACUCAAGGCUCUACUGACCAAAUUAUUGCUCCGUUCUCUAAAAUACUACAUAAACAAACAUAUUUAGGUUUUUUUCCACUGCUCAGUGCCUCAGUUAGACGCAAAUAUUAGUGAAAGGGCUCCAAAAAAUAUAAUAUCUCUUUGGUUACAUAUCUUGAACUGAGCACAUAUUUUGAACACAUGAAUUAGAAUAAUAGAGUUUCAAGACUAAACUAAAUACAUUAUUCUAGACUCAUCACCGUAGACUGCAUAGUAAACCUCAGUCUACAGAACUAAUGAUGCCCGCUCUCGGGUUACAAUGUCCUGUGCGCCACCCUCCGGUUGGGCCGUUGCAGAGUGGACGGUUGACGUCGGCCCGUGAGUGAUGGGAAGCCAGGGUUGUUAGUGAUGGGAGGUCAGGGUUCAGUGAUUUUCUCAGCCGGUACCAUUGUUUCGGUCUCUUCUUAAUAUUAUACCGGGAGGGCGGUCAUUCCCUUCCCAGACGAGUUUUUAUUCUGAUAAGGAACAAAAACUAAUCUCUCUUCACAAGUUAACAUAAUAAAAGUUUAAAAAGAUUUUCUCAAAGAAAGAGGAAAGGAUGGAUCAUAAGAUGUGAACAAUAAGCCAUCAUAAUUUAAUACAAGUAGAUAGAAGUGGUGCAGGGAUAUCGGAUAUCACUGUGUUAAUAAAAUAAAUAGCACGAUUGAUAAGUAAAUUGCGAUCAUAACUGAAUUAAACUCAACACAACACUAGGGUUCUUUCACUAUUAAGCCAUAAUACAUGCAGUCCAGAGGCUAGAGUAGACAUAAUGACUACCUUUUGGCUAUGAAAAGCAGGCUCUAGAACCCUAUUGAAAACCAGAAAGGCAUACUGCAAUAGCAGUAAACUGUCAUGAAAUAACAAUAAUUUAUCUAAACCAAAGAAGCUGUCAGUCAAAAGGUUACAAGUGGAAGUGGUACUGUAGCACAACUAUCUAUUUUUCAUAGAAAAUGGCAGAAGAGGACAGUACCAAAUAACACAUCGCUUCAAGUUAUCACGAAAGUGCAAGGAGAUUCCUCAAAGGCAAAUUACAAGAAAAACAAAACAUGCAUCAACACUGAAUAAAACAUAACAUGGUGUCAAAGAAAACAUACUUCUUGUACAUCAUCAAGAAAAGCCUCCCAAGAUCCGCGAUAAGCUCCCUUAGCCAACCUUAUAUCAAUUGUGCGGAAAUCCAAAGGGCGGGAUACCAUACCAGGAAAUCCAAGGAUGCCCUCAUCUUCAUUCUCAUUGGAAUUUGUUAGAGUUGUUCCAAGCAAAUUAGCAAACUGCUUUGAUUCAUCAGAGGAAAUAGCACGCCGCAGGGCAAUACGGCACUUUUUCAGGACAGCCUCUGAGAUGGAGAUAAUAUUUCUCUCUUUUCUUGGUUUUUCUGUAUUCUGGGGUACUUUUGUACGGCAUGCCUCUGUCAAGACGGAUAAAACAGCUUUCUGAAAAAUAAACAUGUUUUUAGUACAUUUUCCAAUAAGCUUGUAGUCAUAAUUUUCUCAAAACUGAGCUCAUUUCAUGUCCCUCCCACGGUCCCACCCAGUAACUUCUGUGACAAAUCUAAAUGUAUUGUUUUUAGCUUAGUUUGAAUGUGUGUAUAAUGGCCUUCCAACCUGGUGGCAUUAUUGUUCUUGCAGCUAUAUGUCAAAUUUCAUCAGAAUGUGCUGACGGCAGUAAGUUCAAAUUAAAUUUAUACAACAAAUUUCCUGAUCAGAGAAGCUACAGGAGCAAAAGCAUGCUAGAAGAACACCUGAGCAGAAACAGGCAUCUCUACAAGUCUACAAGUACAAGGUAGUAAACCUUGGUCAGCUAACCAGAUAAAAUUCCAAGAAAAUUGGGUUGCUCAGUACUCCACAUAAGAAACAACUAAUAUGUAGCGUUAUCCUAAGUCUACUGACCUACCUCUUUGAUGUACCAAUAGUCCAUAGCAUAUAAUAUACUAGAAGAACAAACAUGUUACUAGGUUCACUACUUUGAGUAAAGACAUAGCGGAACAUAUAUCUGAUAAUCAGAUACUCUGACCUAUAUUACAAAAAAUGAUUAAUUGCAGAAUGUAAGGUACCGCACACAAAAGAAACUUUUUUCUCGCUUUGUAGUUUGUACCAGCAGGAACUUUACAAACCUUGGUUGGUCCAGAUGCAUUACCCUUGUAGACCUCUUUACUGAUUGAGUGCUCCAAAAUUUUCCUUGCCCAUUCUGGAGGUUUUCUCUCCAAAGCUUCAUAAACACACUUCCUUAUUCUUGUUCCCACAUUAGUUGGCAAUUUUCUCACAGGCUCCAAUGAUUUCACCCAAUCUGGCAACGUAGUGUCACUAGCAGGCUCCUCAGGAGAAUCUACAAUAUCAGUAUCCUUGUAAUCCAUCAUAAAGACGGUAUUCCCUUCAUUUGCUGAAGAAUUGCAUAUCAAUGUUUCAGCCUCUGCAAGUAGCUGAAAUACAAGAAUAUUAUUGCUAAUGCUAUGCACACAUAACUCUCAGACUAGAAAUUUUUACAAGUACCUCCUAAGGCCUAGUUUGGAUACUCUAGUAUUAAGCUCAAUCCACAUAUAUUGAAGUGUAUUGGGGUAUAUCUUAAACUAAUUUACACCACAAUCCACCUCAACACACGUGAAUUGGGGUCAAUACUAGAGUACCCAAACAAAGCCUAAGUGGAUAAUCUAAGUAUUUUUUUCUAUGCAUAAUUGUGGGAGAUGAGGUAUAAACAAAAGAGUGAUAUAUAACAUGGCACAAAGCAACACAGCACCCAUUAUGAUAUAUAUUAUAUAGGCAGAUCCAAUGCCAGAGGCUCCCACAUGUGUGGGGUCUGAUAAAGGGAUAAACAAGGCAAGCCUUCCCCAACAAUUGUGGAGAGGCUGUUUCGAACCCAUGACCUGAUGACUCUGGUGAGAGCUCUCACCACUGCACCAAGCCUACCCUUGACCCAUUAUGAUAUGUGAUGUAAAAAAAUGACAUAACUAGGCAAGAACUAGUUUCUUUUCCAGCGAAAUCUUCCCCAGCCGUAUAGAACAAAUAAUGUGUAAUGAACAAUACGCUAGUAUAAUUUGGAAAUAAAUAAUUACAAAUGAUGUUGGCUGACUAGAAAGAUUCAAUUAGCUUUUCUUUAAUACUUAUUUCCCUCCAAGUGGCACAUCAUUGUAUAAUCUAUGAUAUAUUACAAAUAAAAUAUAAUUCAGCCUCCCUGAUGAAGUAUUAAUUGUAAAAGUGGGUAUACAGAACAAAGAAGUUCAACAUAAAUGGAUGAAAAGAUGGCAUGUGGCCAAAGCAAGAAAAUUACAAUACCGUUUGGAUCUAUUCAUUUUGGAGGAAUUGGAAUUUACUUAAUAAAGUAGUCUAUUUGGUUUGAAAUUUGACAUGCCACCACUUUUCAAAGCUCAGAUAUAAGCCUAUCUCAAAUUCAUGGGGUAGAGUAUGGGAAGUGAUGUUAUGUAUCAGUGGAAUAUGUUUCCACUCUGCAACUUAUAAGACACUCUUCCGUUCAUGCCUCUAUAGUAAAAAUGUAACACAUAAAUAUCUCCCACAUAUUGCUAAUAAUAGUAUACAAAUAUAAGUGACAUUAACAUUUUAGCUUAAUUGAUUUUUACCUAAAUUAUUAUUAUUAGAAUGGAAUUCAAUUCCAAAGAAUCCAAACGGGGCGUAACUGAAAUUGACUAAAUUUGAAGACAGUAAGAGACAGAACAAAUUGUAGAAAUUAGUUACUUAUCUAAAUAACUAAAUCAGAAGUGCAAGUAGAGCUAACAAGAAGCAAACUCCUCACCGAUGCAUCCUUCUCCAUGCCAACAACCCCGGGUAGAGCUCCACACAGGAUACCUCCAUCACCUUGUAGGCAGCGGAACAAUUUCACUCCUUCUCGACUAGAAAUAUCAGAUAAAUCCAUGCAGCCACUCAUGGAAGAAACAGCUAAAAUAUAUCUUCUAGCCAACUCCGGCCAAGUCAAAUUGUUAGCAGUCAGCAUAUCAAUCUUUAACUCUCUUGUUAGAGUAUCAGUGUCCCUUUUUCUUCCUCGUCUGGAUUUUGAUUCUUUUAAAUCAAUGCUUGGAUCCACAAAAAUUGCGACUCUAGAUACAAGUUCGGUGAAAAGAACCUUCAAGAGUGCAAUGUGGAUCUCAGGCAGCACUAAACCACUACAUCUCCCAAGUGUCUGGGCAGCCAACUUAUUUUGAGCAGCUUCUCGUGCUGAAGAAGUCUCAACUGGAAUAGACACAUAUACCAUUUCUUCAAUAGAAGUUAUACCUGAUUCGCCAUUCGAGUACGAUGAAGAAACAUUAGCAGGUGAAUUCAUCGGUGGAUUGUGAUCCAUGUAGUUGUGGAUGUCAUUUUUAUUUGGAUGCAUUGGCCAUGGGUCAAUGAGUUCAUCUUCUACUUGCUCAAUUGAAGGAAGUUCUUUCAGGCCGAUGAUUUCAGCAAAUCGUCCAAGAAACUCCAAUAUCUACAAGUGCAGAAAACCCAGUUGUAAGAAUUAGAACAAAGAAAUAAACAAAUAAAAAAGGUGUUUCCUUAAACAGUGGAAGAAGUGAAAGAAACAGGAAUAAACUACCUGGAAAACAUCCCCAGCCAAUUCUGGUGCAAGCUUGCGGCUAAUAGGAUUUCCUGGAGGAAGCUCACGGAUGCUAGAAGAGCUAGGCUGAGCAUGAUCCUGCGGCCCACUCACUACAGAUCCAUGUCUCGCAUGCAUUGGACUAUUUUUAUUAACAGCUACCAGUGUGCCACUUGCAAUCGUCAGUGAAGAGUUAAUUCCAGUCCUGUUACACAAGAACUGAUAGUGUGAACAAGCCCCGGAUUUAGGAAGAGAUUCCACAAAUUCUUGAACAAAUUCCAAAUCAAACCCGAUUCUGUCUGGAUACAGCCAUUCUUUAAGUAAUGCACAAGUUGACUGCACAUCAUUCUCCUUUUCUAUAAACUGUGGUACCUUAGGCCCAUUUGAUGAGCAAAACUUAGCCAAUAGAUUGAAAGGACCAUCAGUGCGCUGAGGUCCACUUUCAUAGUCAAAUGGAGAUUUUUCACUACUGUGAGUGCAGAAUAAUACCAAAUGGCCAUGCUCCUUGUACAUUUUUUCACAGGCUUCCAUCAUAGCACAAGAAAUCAUCCUCCAGACUGAGGAAGGUGAUGUUCCUUCAUAACUGAAGUCACCAAUUUUGUCAUACAUAUUUGCAUCAUUGGUCGGUGCCCAACUGAAAGAGCCAGGAUCUGACAGCACAUCUGGCACUGUCAUAUCCUUAGUUUCUACAUUACUGCACCCUAAACUUUCUUUACCCUCCAAAUCAUUACCUAGACAUGAUAAGAAAUCUUGAUUCGUCUCAGAGAAAUCUGAUAAGAGCAUAGAAAUAUUAUCAUUAGCAUCAUUGGCAGUAUCUUCAAUCAAAUCACUACCUUCCUUCGUUUCUAUUGUAUCAGCGUUCCUAACAACAUUUAGGCACACUGUGGUUGAUGCAUCCGGAAGUUGGAAUGCUGAACACGGUAACCUUCUCAUCUUAAACAAAGGUCCAAAAUUCCCUCCAUCGUGCACUUCACACUCAAACAGUGAACCAGUAACUCUAUCAUGCCAGUAAGACGUAAACCCAACUGGCCAUAUCUGGUAUGAAUUGUGGUAACUUGUCCGAUUGUCAAUUUCUCCCAAGCUGGUAAUGAAAAAAUCACUAUAUUGAACAGGUAGUGCAACCUAGAGUUUCACCACAACAAAUGCAUAUAGUUGAAAUCAGUAUCAAAAGAAAUACACUUCAUUCUGGGAUUCAAAAACAAAAAAGGUUGUACUGUCAAAGAACAGUGACAGAAUGAGCAUCGAUGGUGAAGUAGAAUCUGAAAUAGACAAAGCAAGAUACUCACUGUAUGAUGAUGUGGCUGAUGAUUACUGUUCUCCAUAAGAAAUAUUGGAGGCUUUAAGGAACUUCUGUUUUCACUAGGACUUUGUUUGAUUGUAUUGUUAAAAAAUGAUGGAUCCAUAGACGUGCCAGCACUUCCUAACUCAUGGUUCACUGCAACCUUGGGUAAUGUUGAUGUUUGUGGAAGAUCUCUUCUUCUGCGUAAAUGAGCUGAUCUUUGUGGUACGUUUCCAUCAGCAAUUAAAUCUUGAUCCAUGGAAGUAAAAUUUUGUCUCAUGCCAAAACACUGGGCAAGAUCAAAUGCUGGCAUAAACUGCAUUCCAUCUACAACAACAAGAAGGGUAAUUAGUACAAUUAGUACAAGGUGCACCAAUAUUCACAUUUGAAACCAUAUGUUUAUAAUAUAUGCAACUGAAUACCAUGCAGUUUACUUAAAUGUUAGUAGGAUGUCAAAUGUUUUGGAAGCCAGAAACCAUGCAGAAGUGGGCACACAAUGACUAGGCACUGAGCAUACUGACAAAGGAUUUUGAGAGUUAGCACUGCAAAUCCCAGUCUAAAAGCCUCUUUAAUAAACAUAGAUAUAGAUGUCUAAAAAGCUAAGAACCAAUACAUCUCACUUGCAUCAAAUAAGAGUAAAUGAUUGACCUGUUAUACUUACCAUAAAGAGUAGUAUUCUGCAAGUGACCCCCCUCAAAAUGUGGCAAGUUGGCAACUGUCAACUGGGGUCCAUCGGUGAUAUUUUGUCUGCAGGAGUCACAAGAACAUAUUAACCACCUUAUGAUAAUAGUGUCUGUAUGAUUAGGUUAGCACUUAGCAGAAAGCUUCUACCAGAUUCACAGACAUUGUUACUGUCAGAGCAAUCAAAUACAUUCCAGCUUGCAGAACAUAAUUGCUAGUUUGGUCAGAAAGAGGACCUGAAGUUUAAAUAAGUUACAGCCCAAGAUAGCAAAUUGGAUUUCAAGAAAUCAAAUGUGCCUUCUUUGAAUGGAUCUUUCAAGUAAAUGAUGAUCAAAGCACAAACCAAACUGACAAGAAAAACAGCUAGCAUGGCAAUGACAAGGAGUGCUCCAUAAUAAUAAUGACAAUGAUAAAAGCUACUGUAGUGAAUGCGAAACUUCUAUUUCUGGAUAUCAAUUUGUUUCAAUUUUAUGUCUAGACACUUGAACAAUAAAAAAUAGGAAAACAAAGGUCGUGUCUCUGAACUUAAAGGAAAUCUCUACAUUUCAGUACCAAGUUAUUUGUGUCAACCAAGCCUUUAAGAAGUUAGCAACUAACAGUGAUAAUGAUAUGGUUGUCUUUUUUACCCCAAAACACAGCAGGGAAGAAGGAACGAAAAAAAAUACGGCCAGCCAGAGAGCACGAGGAUCUGCACCCCACAGAAGCAAAAGAAACUAGGAGAGGGAAUCUAAAAAAAGGGAUAAAAGCAUGCCAUUUUUUCACAAAGUCUAAAAGCUUGAAGUUUGGCUUCUCGUAAAAGGAGGUUUUCCAGGAGAUAAAGGAGGGACGUCCUACGUCGAAGAUGAAGUUAUUUCCUGGCUUCCAAAUAUGUCAAGAGGCAAUGAUGAAGGUCUCCAUGAUAGGACACAAUUGUAGGUGUUGCCUUCUAAUUUGUGUUUUUUUCCUUUUGAGAAUGUUUCUUGUAUUUUAGCCUACCGAUAAGAAGUAGCCAAGCAAAAACUCUAAGUUUGUUGGAACAUUUAGUCCCCCAAAUCCAGAUAAAAGGAGUUGGGGCUGCACAUUUUUGAAGGGAAAAUUGUAGAACUUUGUUGAUGUAUAGUUUCUGCUUCCCCAAAUAUAAUGGCAGGAGUCUUUAGUAUAUGGCUGCACUUGAAGUGUCUGAAUGUAAUCUUGAAGGGCUUGACAAUCUUGAUAAGCUUGCUCUGAUAAGGGGAGAUGGAACUGAGAUUCAAUGUUGUUGUUCAAUGAUAUGGUUGUCAUCGCCACUAGGCUGUUAAUCAUCACUAACAGUGGAGGAUUGGUGUUGGAUUUGCAGAUAGGCCACUUUAAAUAGGUUGUCUUCCGGAAACCCUAAAUCCCCCACUUGGCACUUGCAAUCUGACUCAUCCCAUUAUAGAAUCCCCACUGUGGGCAAGAUUUACCCACUAAAGCAAGCAGAUAAGGCAACCAAUUGAACGUUUUACAUGGAUCAGAUCCACGGAAAGCUCUCUCAAGUUGAUAAAAUUGUAAUAUGACGCGAGUGUAAACACAUCACAACAGAUAUUCUGAAUUUAGUUUGAACCCUAAAUGCGCAUCUCAAACUACAUCCCUUGUUCCCCACCCUUGCCCAUAACCAGUUUUCCCGGGCCGAUGCGGCUGAGUAACUGGGAUCAAGGAACACAUUACCCUACUUGUGAAGGAAGGGACAAGGUUGUUCCUGCGUUCCCAGAAUGGAGGCGAUUUUCCCAGGAGGCAGAACACAGAACGAUCCAGUUUCUGGCGACUACGCACACACCCCAAAUCUGACCAGAAAACAAGAUUAUGCUUAGAUCUAUACCUCAAGAUGCACUGAUUUGCAGAUCUACAACUUCCCUGUUGUUCGAAGCAGGAUGGCGGCACUGAUUAGGAACAGGAGCGGAGAGGGUGGAAUAGUUAGGGGGGCUGUGUAAUUCUUAGGGUUUUCUUUCUCUCAAGGAGACAGGCAUAGGGUAUAUAUAGAGGGGAAAGCCGGUGUAUAGACUUGGUCUACCAGCUCAAUAUAAAGCAAGAAAAUUGCCUUAAUUAAAUAAAUAUUUUAUUCGCAAAAUCCACGUCACCGUUCAAGCAAGUAUAUCUGAUGAGGCCCACCAAAUUCUCCAGAGUUACACUGGUUAUACCAUUUUAGUCUGGGGGUGAUGAAACCCCUGUCACCAGUCCAGGUUUGAAGGCUGGUACAGACUUCUUUAGAACAAAAUCAGGGGAACAUAUCUGGUGCAAACCAACCCUUCUGUGCAACCGUGCAAACUUCUAAUCUGGGUCACAUGAUGUUGAUCCAAGGGGACGCACGGGAGUGGAUAAGUUUGCACUUAACCGCCCGCUCCUAAUCACACUUUUGUAAAUAUCCCCUCUCACUCCCCCCGCGCGUCCCCUUGGAGGCUUGGAUCAACAUCAUGUGGCCCGGAUUAAAAGUUUGCACGGUUACGCAGAGGGGUUGGUUUGCACCAGAUAUGUUCCCCAAAAUCAGGGAGGAAAUCUUCACUUGGGCAAGUUUUUUUAAAAAAAAACUGAUAAGAGAUGGUUGUGUGCAAGAAAUAAAUUAUAAGGACCUGAUUGAAUAACUUGGGUGUAUGGACACCUUUAGAACAAAAUUAUGAUGUUAGAACACCUGGUUGAACAAUCAUGUCACAAUGACACCACGUUAAAGUUCUCUCUGUGCAAGUGCAACAGAACUAAGCUGUCUUUCACUAAGGACCCAAAUGAGAUGUAACAAUUUGAUCAAGAAUUUUACACAAAAAGCACAUGUCCAAGGGUUAACAGCACUAAUGUUGAUGUUGAAACAAGAAACAACAAUACUACUGUCUUAGAACCACCAAGUGAUAACAAAUUAACAAUACAUGACUAUGCCAUUGUUCUAACCUGUGAAUUUGAUCCAAUCUCCAAAAUAACGGAUGGUAUCCUUUGAUGUUGAUAAAUUAAAAUAGAAAAGGAAUAGGAAGAAGGAUCCAUCACUCAUGCAACAUGCUAUUAGAAAAAGUGAAAUGUGGGACCUAUCUGUGUGGCCUAAAUUCAAUGGCGUGCUGGCCCAUCCAUUGGUAAGCACAUAGGAGGUACUUGAUCGCACCAAAUUCCAGCUCAUAAAAAGACCAUGAGACAAUAACUGCAAGGGUUGGGACCUUCCAAAACUAGAAUGCAGAACAUAAAAAAAUCAGACAUGAAUAGGUUCAAAAAGUUCAGGAUGCAUUUGUGUUUAUGGAAAAAAGACAAUCAAGAAAAUAGAAGUUUUCUGUACCACCUAACUGGCACAGUUAAAAAUACCAAAAUUGUAAACAGCAAGUGUUUGUACCAUAUUUUGAGCAACUACCCACUUGAUUUUGAUUCAGCUAUAAUAGUAAGUGUUUGUACGUACAUGUUAGUUCCACUCUCCGAAAGGGCAUCUAGCUGAGUUGGUUAGGUGGCCUGAGAAGCACUCCUCAGAUCCUCUAGUCCUGAGUUUGAAUCCCAGUGGGAGCAAAUUUCAGGCUGAGGUUAAAAAAAAUCACUCACUGGUUCCCCUGGUUGUGUGCACAUGAUAUAGACUGACCUAUGGGGGGCGGAUCCUCGUGUAGGGGUUGUGAGAGCUCAAAACACGAGUAAAGGUCUAGCCUAUAGGGAGCAGACCCUCAUGUUGCACGAGGAGGGGGGCAGCUUUCAUGACAUUUCUCGGUCGAGGCUCUGAUUGAGCUUCUUCUUAAUAUAAUAAUGUGGGGGCGGUCUUUCCCCUACCAGCCGAGUUUUUUUUAGUUCCACUCCCGUGGCUUAUUGUGUUUUGCUUAUCAGAACAGAACAUUCCAGCACUGGGUCAUUCCAGUAAUUGAGUGUACUAUUCUGGAGUAUUGUUGCCAUGGACCGAGAUGGGGAUAGCUGUCUUCUCCGGCGAGGUUAUACCCCUCUGCCGCAGGCUUGGCUCUAGGGUAGCAGCCCUAGGCGCUUGAGAGUCAUUGCAAGAGAAGGAGAUUGGUUUGAUAAUAUAUUCCUUAUUCCUUUGUCUCCUGCGUACAGGCCUAUAUAUAGGCCACCGGUUGACCAACUAGGUAACCACUAAUUAGGCAAGUGACUAAUUGGAAUUAUCUCCCCUACAAUUUAGGUCUAUCAAUUUAGCCACCAAAUCAGUCACUUUCCUUUGCCAUGCCUUCCUUGCGCGCGCUGCUGCCAGCGCCCCCUGCGGCCUCUCGCUUUUGGCGGGCAUAGGUGCGGCCCCACAUGAGUGACCGCUUCCUAUGAUGCCCAUGACAUCUCCCCCUCCCUUGAGGACCAGCUCGUCCUCGAGCUGCCAUAGACUUACCUGACACGACUUAAGGUUAAGCCUUUUACAUCUCGGCUUACCUUUAUUAUUUAAGACGAAAAUACAAAAUAAUUGUGGAACUAAAAUAUAAAUUUGAACUGCAGCUAUGUCCUCCUGUCCUCCUGGAUCCCAAGGAAAGAGCUGAACUGCGACCUUCACGUUGGAUGAAAGGUGGAGGAGGAACCAGCCCGUUCUUAUGUUAUGUUGGGUCUGUCCAGCACCAAGGCAGGUGCCCGAAUGAAGGAGACGACCCUCUUUGGCCGUGCAGGGGGGCUGCAUACCCAGAUCUCGACUUCUGCAGGGGGUUCAAAAAGUAUAGACGAGACCUGGUGGUUGGGCGCGCAGGCUACGAGUUGGUGCAGCGAUGAGCUGAUCAGCAAGUGCAGCUUCCGCACCGCCCGCCUAACAAGGAAGUCGCGCACCACGGCUUGCAGGCGCACCACGGCCUGCUCAUGCGAUGACGGCCAUGGGGUGGCCCUGGAGGCCACAGCAAGGUGCUUCUCCCCACGAAGGGACUGUACCUGGCGGUGUGCCAAGAACCCUCGCGCUGUCGUCUGAAGCCGCACCGCUGCUUGGAGUUCCUUCUCUGUCUUCUCCUUGUAGCGGUGGAACAUCACAACGAAUUGAUCCCACUGCUCUGCGAAACGACCAAAACUCUCUUCGAGCCGAGUGAAUGCAUCUGGAGUUGGAGAGGGCGGGUGGGAGGACGUUGCGGCGGCUGAUGGCGCGGCGGCUGGUGGUGGUGAGGAUAACCUGGAGCUGAUACCAGGUGCCAUGGACCUUCGGUCCAUGGGGAUAGCUGUCUUCUCCGGCGAGGUUAUACCCCUCUACCGCAGGCUUGGUUCUAGGGUAGCAGCCCUAGGCGCUUGAGAGUCAUUGCAAGAGAAGGAGAUUGGUUUGAUAAUAUAUUCUUUAUUCCUUUGUCUCCUGCGUACAAGCCUAUAUAUAGGCCACCGGUUGACCAACUAGGCAACCACUAAUUAGGCAAGUGACUAAUUGGAAUUAUCUCCCCUACAAUUUAGGUCUAUCAAUUUAGCCACCAAAUCAGUCACUUUCCUUUGCCAUGCCUUCCUUGCGCGCGCUGCUGCCAGCGCCCCCUGCGGCCUCUCGCUUUUGGCGCGCAUAGGUGCGGCCCCACAUGAGUGACCAGUCCCUAUGAUGCCGGCUGGUGGUGGUGAGGGAUGGGCGGCUGGUGGUGGUGAGGAUAACUUGGCUCUGAUACCAGGUGCUUCGGUCCAUGGGGAUAGCUGUCUUCUCCGCGAGGUUAUACCCCUCUGCCGCAGGCUUGGUUCUAGGGUAGCAACCCUAGGCGCUUGAGAGUCAUUGCAAGAGAAGGAGAUUGGUUUGAUAAUAUAUUCCUUAUUCCUUUGUCUCCUGCGUACAGGCCUAUAUAUAGGCCACCAGUUGACCAACUAGGCAACCACUAAUUAGGCAAGUGACUAAUUAGAAUUAUCUCCCCUACAAUUUAGGUCUAUCAAUUUAGCCACCAAAUCAGUCACUUUCCUUUGUCGUGCCUUCCUUGCGCGCGCUUUCCUUUGCCAUGCCUUCCUUGCGCGCUGCUGCCAGCGCCCGCUGCGGCCUCUCGCUUUUGGCGCGCAUAGGUGCGGCCCCACAUGAGUGACCGCUCCCUAUGAUGCCCAUGACAAUUGUAAAAUGAAAAUGAUAUGUUAUACCACACCAGUGUAUUGUAAAAUGGUAAAUAAUUUCACAAUAUAUUGUAUGAACGAAAUCCACAAAUUACUCACAUGUAUAGUAUUCAAGUGACACUAUACAUUUUAGAAAAAAUCUUGAUAUGGAAAGUAGGCAUCCAAGAUCCUUUGCAGGAGACAUAAUUGCUCAUGUUAACUAAUAUGGGACGAAAUAGAGAACUUCAAAUGUAAUAGAGGAUGAAAGUGGAACUACAAAACAAUGGACACAGUGGCAGAUCUAGAAACAUAUGCUACAAGGGGCUCAUACUCCUUAUUUUCUACAUUUAGUCCCUCCUAAGCUUCAAUGAUUACAAACUUGUAGGAAGCUUAGGAGAGGGUUCUAUACUUACGGCGACAGUAGGAGGGGGUCGAGCCUCAGCCGACUUGGUGCUAGUUCCACCCUUGAAUGGAAAGGAACUUAACAGCUAAAGGGGCUUUAGUAUUGUGGCCUUCGUGUGAACAUUUCAUGGCGCACAUCAUGACAACUGGCAAAGGAUUUAUCUUACAAAAUAUUAGUGUUCCAUUGUCUACAGACAACAAUUAUGGAGCAACCUUAGUGAAAAGGGUCAAAAGAAAUACUCAAGCACCAGUUUCCUAACUAGUUUUCAUACAAGUUUUUGAAAUGUCUAUAUGGUUCUUUACUACUUAGUCACACUAGAGUGCCGGUGACCCACAUGGCCUCUAGUGUCAUCGUUGGCUCUAGUGUAGACAUGCAAAAUAAUGGCAUAAAGGCCAUGAUUGUUCUAUGGUAAGCUUAGCUCAAGUUCAAAAGAAACUGAUAGCUAUCCCUUAAGAUUCAUUAGGCUUGUUUAAUGCAUGGAGACUUCGGAGAAAGGUUGAUAGUCCCUUAACCAAAAUGGGAUGACCUACAUUUAUGUCACAAAGAUCGGCAUCAUCAUCAAGUCACAAUGAUCUUCGUAGCAUAGGUCAUUCUUAAUCUUCUACCGCACUACACCACAAUGUAUCUCGCUACAAACUUACUUUGACAUGAUAAUUACAACUUUGUGGCAAUUGCAAAGGGGAUUCAACUUUGGGCCACAUUAGGUAAGCCUCAACAUGGCAGGUUUUACGACCUCAUCCAUCCUUAGACCUUAGUCCACUUGUUAUAGAAGUUGACAUCUUUACUUACUACGAGAAGCUUGAAUAUCCCAACUAUGGUGGCAAAGACAACUUAACGAAUUCAAUUGACCCAAAUAUAAGUAUUUUUCCAACGAUAGACAAAGGAAGGCAACAAGGUCCUCUUUGUUGCAUACACAUAUUGUCGGCAAUACCCAACAGUGGUACAUUAAAUAGGGAAUUGUGUGUAUACUCUCGAAAGUGUGGUUUGGUAUAGAACACAACGCACUUGUCAAUUGUUUUGUCACACCAUGAAAAUGUGGAUUUGUCUACAACACAUGACACAAAUUAAAAAUAUUUCUACCCGUGAGAGAGAGCUAGGUCAUACCACCUAUCGAAUUAUACCAUUAGAGCAGUGCGCUCGAGGUCUCCCUUUGUCUGUCCAUGUUCGAAUCCUACUACAACUUAUUGCAAUGACCAGGGGUGUCAACACUAUGUGGUUUGAGUUUUUUAGGUUGGUUGUUAAUUAACAUUAUGCCCUUAAAGGCAAAUUACUAGCAAUUCAUCGAUGUUAGAUCUCUCAAUGAAGCACAACGACACAAUGUCCCGGAUGCGUUAGUUGGGCUAGUCUUUUCCAUGGAAACGCCACCCCUCUCCCUAUCAACCUCCCUCUCCUUGGCCAACGACGAUGGCAUGAGCAAUUUGAAGCCAAAGAUGUUGACCACCGGAUCCAUGAGCAAUCCACAAAAAAAUAAGUUGAAUCAGUGUGAGUCAUACAAGGGAGCGCCCAUGGUAGCCUUGGAGCUUUCACAGUCACAAUGGUCUUGUCAUGUGAUGGAUUUUGUUCUCUAUAUGAGGUCAAAUAGGUCGCCGAGACGCCGACAGGCGAUAGCAAGGAGCAAAAAGUGCAAUGGUAGAGGCAAGGAACGUGUUUCUUUUGUCAAAGUUGACCAUGGAGAUCAAGAGGGUGAGAAGGCGUGCAAGAGUAGGAAGAAUGCAGGAUUUGUAUAUUACUGGAGUCCACCGGCCAGGGAUAGGCUCUGCCUCCUCGAGCCGCUCUCCACAAGAGGUUGUGCCUAGUAGGAUCACCGUGUUAGGGCCACCUACCAUGUGGGGUGGCACAACAAUCGGCAAGGUGACGGAGCACAUGGUGGCCUAAGGGCAGGAAAAGAUGUCUUAUGGGCGGUAUCAAGGUGGGUCAGAGAUUUGACCCCCUUAGGCACUUAGCUAGACUCAAACAAAAUUGAACCAUGAUGGUUUAUUAAGUUGAGUUCCAUGUUUUGAUAUACAAGGCUAAACGCGCAAGUGUUCAAGUAGAGAUAUCCAUCACAAGGCUAACGUAUAGAGACAUCAAGCUUCAAUGUCCUCAAUUUACAUAUGAACAUGAAUUCUGCUCAUUUGCUCAAACAUAUAAACAAUGUGUUUAUUCACUAGCUCACUAGCUUCACCAACUACAACAAAUAGACAGUUGGCAAGUUCGCAACAAGCAAAUCAUAUAGGUGUUGCAAUAGAUGAAAAGGAAGCUAGUUGAAGUGCAUGAGAAACCAACACAUGUUGCAUUCUUGAUCUCCCAUAUAGUGAAGCCAACACAAGGUUGUGUUUCUUUGAUCUCCCAUAUAGUGUAAAGCUAGGUACAAUCACAUAAAUAACUUUACAUUCACAAGAGAUAUACUGGGCAUGUUACGAUACGAAGAGAUUUUGAUCUCCAAGGAAUUAGGUGCACGCAUAGGACAUGCAUUGGCAUGUUUGGUUGUGUAAGGAUACAUUAAUGCUUACGUGCAGUCGCAUCACAACGUCUACAUAUUGAUUGUCAUGGCAUGCAGUCGCAUCAACAAGAUCAAAAAAGUGAUUGCCAAAGAAGUCGAGAGUGGCAAUCGUUGUCCUCUAAAAAAGAUAUUGACGAAUUGAGACAACGUAAGGGCAUGCCAAACAAAAGAAAUCUUGUUGCAUAUGGUUCUAUUUCGAUGAAAUUGUGUUUAGGUUGGCAAACAUGUAAAUAGCACAAUGAUAUUGUAGACGAUGAUAGUAACCUUCAAGAGAGGAUGGUUGACUUCAUGAAGAAGCUAUGACACCUGCUUCAACGAUGCUUUGGGAAACGUGGUAGGACACCUCCACAACUGGGUCAACAAGUCAUUUGAGUUUAGAGCGCUACAACACUAAGUUGUCUCUAAGGUAGAGACAAUAUCCAAGUCAUUGCAUCCAAUCAUGACCAAUAAAGAAGUGGUCCAUAUAUUGAAAGAAAGGGUGCCCUAGAUUCUUCGAAAAGCAACUUUCACCAACAUGACAAUCAUGAGGAUCCUUCGUAUGCAAUAGAUCAAUCAUACAAGAACAUACAAUGCCAAUGAGGCACUAAAAUCCUUUGAUAGGUAGUCCACCAUCCUAUGGAAAGAGUUAUUGUUGUUGCAUAAAGAGCACCCUUAUGAAUUCUCAUCACUAAGAAAGGCAUUCUUUACUUCAACAGAGAGGCAGUGGGCAUAAGAGAGUGGAUAGUGGUUAUGUACAUUCUUUACUUCAAUUGAAUGGUGAGGAGCAUAAGAGUGUGAAUAGUAGUUAUGUACACAACUAGGGCAAAGGCCUCAUCGUUUGCCACAACCAUAGCUCCACUAAAACCAAGAGCCAAAGCAACUUGCAACAGAGCUAGGUGAGAUUUUGCAAACACGGAAUAUAAUAAGCUAAGAAAAACAUGCACACCAUAGAUUAGCAGCAUUGAAAGAAGGUCCAAGUAUGGCGUCUCAAAAUCAAGGCCAAAGCAUAGGAGGGGGCAGAGUGCAUACGAUGCAAUAGCCCCGGAGUCGACACCCAACGAUAAAACCUACAAGGAAUACUCACAAGCUCCUUGCAACUUGUAGUGGAGGUUCUUGUUUGUGGUGACAAUUGAAGAGAGUGCUCCAGUCCUCCCAAUGCACAAUAGCGAUGGAUGCAAGAUGGCAACACGAGGAGGCAAAUGAUACACAAGAACUCAAGCCACCGAUGACGUCCAACUUGGCAAUAUAACCUCAAGAUUGAGGUGAUGCCCCCAGCCAGAAGAGGAAUGAACCAGGGUGAGUAAAGAGUACCCUCGCCUUCACAAUCAGUUAUUAAGGCAGUAAGGCGAGCACCCCCCCCCCCCCCCUUUACCUUUUAAGCGAAAAGGCGUAAGGCGAGGCGACGCCUUAAUUAUACAUAUAAAUAUUAAAAAUAGACCGAAUAUUAUAUAUAUUACUAAUUUGAAAGUAAUAGUAAGCAAGCUAAUACAACUGUAAGGCCUAGUAGGCCUAUUUCAGCCUGGUAGAAGAGAGAAAGAAAUAAAGAAGACCACCAGCAGUCAGUAAAGCCCAGCCCAACAAUUUUAGGGUUAUCUAUCUCACAGCCACCAGCAGCUACAUCGGUACAGCCUGCAGCCCUCUCAGUCUCAGCCGCCAGCCCCUUCUCUCCCUUCCCUCUCCCUCCCCGUAGCACUCCUUGUCCCUCCCUGCAGCUCUCCUCUUUCACCCUGCGCACUGCCAUGACCUGCAUGCCGCCCUGCCGUAACCUGCUCGCUCUGCCGUGCCGCCGCUGCCUGAGAGGGAGCAGAGCAUGCGCGCCGCCGAGGACGCGCCCUGCUCGCCCUGCCGCCGUGCCCUGCCCACCGCUGCCCGUGCCCAAGGCGUCGAUCCGAUGACGCUCUGACGACGCCAGCAGACGCCUUAUACCCCCAGAGCAAGGCGAGGUAGACGCCUCACCCUCCAUGAACGCUUUAGCGCCUAGGCGACGCUUCACGGACGCCUUAAUAAGCAUGUUCACAAUGGACUCACAUAAACAAGUCAAAGACAUUGUAGUGGCUAAGGUAUAGGUUUUGAACCAAACCAACCUAUAUUGCCUAUGUUUGAUUGCGCAAAGCAACCUAUAUUGUCUAUGUUUGAUCGUCGUUGUGUUGUGGUGCCCAAGGGCUACAAGAAAGGGUACACACAAAUACAAGAAACAUCCUACACCAGAAGGAAAAUGCAAUGCUAUAAUAAUGCAAUACUGUUAGAACAGAGCAGUGGAAAAAAAUCAAAGGUAACAAACCAUUAACUCAACUGUUGCAUGGCGACUAACAAACUGCACCUCUUUAAGGCUAUAACAAUAGCAAGCACCAAAACAAACAUAAGAGCCAAACAGAACAAAUAAUAACAAGGUUCAACGGAUUAUCCCCUGUUCUGCUGUUCAGUGUUCAUCACUCUUAACAUCACCGAUUGCUUAGGCACCAGCGUUUUACAAGCAGCAGAUUACUCGGACUCAUAGCCUCUGAGACUAAGGAGUUCGAUGGCCAAGCAUAUACUAUCAAUAUAAUCAAUGAUAAUAAUGAUUAAAAAGAGCUCAAGUAACUGCCUGCGGAUGUCAUUGGCGAUGACUGUGACGGGGUCCUCUGGCGGAGCAGCGUUGAUGUCAAGCUCAACUGCACCUAGCUUCCAGCGGGUGGAGCGAGCGCCACGCCUCUCACACGCAGGGCAGAUCCAGUCCUCGUUGGCGGCGGCACGGGGCCGCCGGGCGCCAGGGGGGCCGGGUGGCGGGGGCGGGGGGAAGAGAGGCGGCCAGACGCGGACGCAGUUGGGAUGGAACCCCCUGUCACACGCGUCGCAGACCAAGGUUCCCCCCAGAAUCUCCUGGCGACCGCAGGACGAGCAGGGGGCCGGCGGGUUGCCCCAACCCGCCUCCCCAGGGUGAGGCGCCGGCGGCUGCAGAGGGAGCAGCGGCAGCCCCAGACCAGGGAGCAAGCCGGCGGGCACGUUCCCUAUGGGCCCAAAAGGUGUAUUCCUCAGUUCGAGGGGGCGGUGGACCCGAAGCACCACGUCGAGGGCCUCCUGCUGGAGCCGCACCUGUUGGUUGGGCGCACCCAGGGGCAGCUGCGGCGGCAGGAGAGGAGGAAACUGCGGCGGCGGCGGCGGAGGAGGAGGAGGAGGAGGAGCUUGGACGGGCGGAGCCAACUCCUGCGGCGGCGACGGGGCCUGCGCCGGCGGGGUGUCGCUCGACGGCGGCGGCGGGGCCUCGUUGAGGUCGAUGACGAGAUGCGGCGGCCGAUCCAUGACGGAAUGGGGAUUGAGCUCGAACUCAGGCUAGGUUAAGGGCGCUCGGCAUUGCCUCGAGGGGGAGGAGGUGGGUGGGGAGCGUGAGGGGAGAGGGGUUUUGUGGCGAGCGGCGGAACAGAGAGCAGCACGAGCAAAGCAACGCUGAGGUUAAGGAAGGGGCGCGAUUCGGACGGGAGCGCAGCCGAACCGCGCAGCGCAGGUCCAUGCGCCCGGAUGAAACGGAAGGGAAAGGAGAAAGGACAGUGCGUGCCUGGAGUGGCAAGCCUGGUGCGUGUUCGGGACAGCGCAGCGGAUGCUAUGAGGGUUGAUGUGGGGCAGCACGUCAGUGAGUCACGCGGCGCUUUUGGCUGAACGGGAUGCGGUGACGCGGAGCAGAGGCACGCGAGGGGCAUGCCGAGGGCCGAGGGCCGGGUCCCCCGCGCGGUCCGCGGUGCCCAGUGUGUGUUUCUGGCUUUUUUUUGUCUCGGCGACUAGAGGUCCACACAGGUUUUGCACGUCAUUACGUCAAGACAAAAGGGGUUAGGCUAGGCGCUUAGGCUCCUUCGUCAUUCCGAACUUGUGAGAAAGAAAGGUCGAUUAAGUCUCCUAUAAUCUAAAUACAUCUUACUAGUAGAAAAAUGUUUAAAAUCAAGAUGUGUUUAUUUAUGUGUUUCAGUUUUUUAUUACAUGUUGUGCAACUCGUAUAAAAUAAGAUGGUUUUAAGUUGUUACUUAUAAAGGAAAACUAAAAAAUCUAUAGUCGUUUAUGUGGCAAUAUUUGUUUCAUGAUUCUACCACAAACAUACAUAAUAAUGUUGUCCGCACUCGACAACUCCAAACAUAACUGCAGUAAUAGAGCCUCUCCAACCUCAAAUGUGAAAUUGUUGCCGUUUUACUGCACAUAUGUACUGGACAAAGCCAAGGGGAUGGAUGGUGGCCCCCGCGGUGGGUGUGUUUGAUUUAUAUUGAUAAAUAUAUGUUAGUUUGUAUAGGGUUUGUUAGAAAUAUAGGCAUUUUCCGUAUUAUUUUAAUUCCAUAAAUUAACAUUAUGAUGAUGACAUAUAAAAUAUGUUUAAUCAUAGAAAUCAUUAUCUCAAAUAUAUCCAUAACAAUAUGGAUCAAGAGAACAUGAAACAUAUGAAUCAUAUAAAUAUAAUAAGCAUAUAAACAUGGAACAUGUAUUAUUAUGGAACAACUGAAAAUAAACAGAUAGCAACAUAAACAGCAUGACUGUAAAAUUAAGACAAACAGAUUUAUCAUAUUACUAGUAUGAUCAGGCAUCAGACAUGUUAUGAUAUAAUACGACAAAACAGAUUGAAUAAAUUUACGGCUAUAAAUAAAACAGCAGGUAUGAACAUAUAUAAUUUGCAGAAUGAAAAACAGUAAGGAGAUGAAUUGAUCAUACCCUCCCAUGCGCUCCGAGGAUCUAGAUUCUUGUCCAACUUCACUUGUCAUGUCUGCAGGAGGAAGACUUUGGGCAGUCGCGUAGACGCUCCCCAAAAACCUAAUUGCCGAUCCCUCGUGCAAGGUCUCGAACGGCAAGGGCUCCGGAGGCACCUGCCCUCUCGCUUCUCUGUGCGCGCAGAGUCACGAGAUGGAAAUACUCUCACUCGGCUGCUGGACUGUGUUCUGAAAGUGUUUUUUUCUUGUGUACCGAGUGACAGAGGUGCUCCUCUAUUUAACCUCUCGCAGAGGGAAGCUGAAGGAGAAAGGUCGCCGAGUCACGCCAAGAGUCGGCCAGCUCUAGCCGAGUUAUGCCAUGAGUCGGCCAGCUCUCGCCGAGUCACGCCAUGAGUCGGCAGCUGAAGGAGAAGGGUCACUCGGCUGGCUGACCACGCCCGCCUGCCUGCCUGCCUGCCUCGCCUCGCCACGCCACGCCACGCCACGCCCGGCCCGGCCGCCGGCGGCGGCGCGCGCGCGCGUGGCACGCCCUUGUCCAUUUCUUGACUUCUCAAGUUAAGUGGAAUAAAUCCCACCAUAUAAGUCAAGGCAAAAGACCCUUGGACUUCCAAUGUGGUACUAUUGGUAUUCUCCACCAUUACACACCAUAGAGUUUAUUCAAUAAAUGGGCCAAGCCCAUAAAAGAUCCAACAGGGUUGAGGUAUAGAGUAGUUGUGGAUGCGAGAGUUUGGCUACUGUAUUUUAAAAUGUUGAUGACUAUGACGAAAUAUCCUUUUUGGAGUAGAAUAAUAGAAUGGUGAGUGUGGAUAGUCUAAAGUGUGGUUUUCUACUUUUCUUAUUGAACUCUUUAUGAAUGAUGAUUAAAUUUAGUACCAUAUUAUCAGUUGUAUACCAAUAAAUUAGUUAUUAAUAGAAGAUAAAUAAUGUAUAUACAUCUACUUGCUUGAAGAUUUUAUCAAAAGUAUCCAUUUUUUCUAAAGCUACUUUGUUAUUGAGAAGGACGCACUUUGCAUGGAAAGAGGGGAUGUUGCAGUUUCUACUAGAUACUUAUGAGUUGUACAUCAAUAAACCAAUAGCUCACGGCAGAAGAUACAAAAUAGAUGAAACACUUAUGUGAUAAAAUACUAUAAGAUCCUUGGGGACAUGAGGCUAGUAGAAAAAUAUUUAUAAUUGACAUGUGUUUAUUUGUGUGUUGUAAUUUUUAUUUAAUGUCGUGUAACUCAUUUUAAAUAGGACGGUUUUAAGUUGUUACUCACAAAGAAAAACUAAAAAAUAUGUAGUCAUUUAUGUGGCGAUAUUUGUUUCAUGAUUCUACCAAAAGAAAACAUAGUAAAGCGUAAUUUUCUUGUUAAACACUUCAUAAAUAAUGAUUAAGUUUAGUGUCAUAUUAUCAAUAGUGAGGUGUGUACCAAUAAAUUAGUUAUUAAUGGAAGUAUAGCUAAAAGAUAGAGUACAUAUCUCUACUUGAUUGAAGAUUUUCUCAAAAGCAUCCAACUUUCUCUAAAGCUACUAUACUGUUGACAAGGACGUUUUUCCAGGAAAGAGGUGUUGAUGUUUCUACCAGACACUUAUGAGUUGUAAAGCAACAAAUUAGUGACUCAAAGCAGAAGAUACAAAAUAGGUGAGUCACUUAUAUGAUGAAAUACCAUGAGAUUCAUAGAGAUCAUGAUGCUAGUAGAAAAUUUUUAUAUUCGAGGUGUGCUUAUUUUUGUGCUGCAUUUUCUAUUGGAUGUCAUGUAACUCGUAUAAAAUAGGACUAUUUUAAGUUGUUACUCAAAAAGAAAAACUAAAAAUAUGUAGUCAUUUAUGUGCCAAUAUUUGUUUCAUGGUUCUAUCAUAAGCAUACAUGGUAAAUUGUAUUUUUCUUGCUAAACACUUCAUAAAAAAUGAUUAAGUUUAGUGUCACAUUAAUAGUAGUGAGUUAUGUACCAAUAAAUUAGUUAUUAACAGGGGUAUAGCUUAAAGAUAAAUAAAGUAUAUAUCUCUACUUACUUAAAUAUUUUAUUAAAAGCAUCCAAUUUUUCUAAAGCUACUAUAUUGUUGAGAAGGACGUUUUUUGCAGGAAAGAGACGUUGCAGUUUCUACCAAACACUUAUGAGUUGUACACCAAUAAAUUAGUGACUCAAAGCAGAAGAUACAACAAGGUGAGUCACUUAUAUGAUGAAAUACCAUGAGAUCCUUAGAGAUCAUGAGGCUAUACAAAUUGAGAUCGUAGAAACAUGAGCUUGUGAUAUAGCUACACCUAAUUCCAGACCGGUUAAUGCUAGAACUAUAAAUAAGGGACCAAGAUCUCCUAAGAAAUAGAAAAUAUUAUUCAGAAAUAGCAUAGUCCAAGCAAACCCACUUAAAAUCUUUACUGAACUAUGACCGGCCAUCAUAUUAGCAAAUAAACGUAUUCCUGAGCUUAAUGCACGAAAACAAUGAGAGAUUAGCUCAAGGAGUACUAAAAAAGGUGUUAAUGGCAGUGGGACUCCCGCUGGUAAUAAGAAGCUAAAAAAAUGAAGCCCAUGUCUUUGAAAUCCAACGAUCGUAAUGCCUAUAAAAAUGGAAAAUGAAAGAGCCAAAGUAAUGAGAAAAUGACUUGUCACUGUGAAGCUAAAGGGUAUCAUACCCUGGGGAUUACGAAAUAACGAAAAAGUAAAAGUGACCGAGAUGCAAGGGAAAAACUUGUGUUUCACAUUUCCGGAAAGACCACCUAUUUGUUCGUUUACCAGGUUCGGCACGAAAUCAUAAAUAAGCUCCACCAAGGAUUGAAAUGCAUUUGGCACUGACUUUCCCCCUCCUUUUUUCGUAACAACAAAAACCAGAAGUAGGACCAAACCGAGAGUGAGUAGAAAAUGUUUAUAUUCGAGAUGUGCUUAUUUUUGUGCUACAUUUUUCUAUUGGAUGACAUAUAACUCGUAUAAAAUAGGACUAUUUUAAGUUGUUACUCACAAAGAAAAACUAAAAAUAUGU